rnacentral:lncRNA from 1 species
CAACAGUUUUUGACUCGGUCCCCGCCUUUAAUCAAGACUCUAUGGUUAUCUAAAUAAACUGAUUUUAUGGCUUCCCCUAUGUAUCAAAUCCUCUCUUCCUUCUUUUUCUGAUUCUCACGCUGUUUUCAGUUUAAAUUUUUGCUCCCCCUUCUCUCAACCAUCUCUCCUUAUCUCUAAGCCUAAUUAGCUGCCAGGCACACCAGCUCCACCAUCUCACACCAUACCAGGAGCACACACCUCGAACAAGUCAAGACCAUCAUACCAUCGCUAUUAGACCCACUUGAAACUCAACCCCCCUCUUUCUCUGGCGUUCUCUCUCUCUCUCUAUAUAUAUAUAUAUAUAUAUAUAUAUAUAUAUAUAUAUAUUUGAAUACUGAUGAUUGAAGGUUUCCAACGAUUUGAAGUCAAAUAGGUAAUCUUUAUUUCCUCCCUUUCAAUUCCAACACUCUGGGCAUAUUUCUUCAUUUUUUGUGAAAUAGUGUGUUUGUGUGUGUGUGUGUGUGUUUAUUCAUGUACAUAUGUGUAUGUAUUUGUAUGUGUAUCUGUCUAAUUUUCUAUGUAUGUAUUUUUCUAAAAUAUAGGUGGAGAUCCGAUUGAUUUUGAUUGUUUGGAAACUAGGGCUUGGUUCACUAAUUACCAGCAGUUCUAGAAGUGAAUAUGGUUCCAUUGUAGGGUUUCUAACAAGUGAGUUUUUUUUUUUUCGUUUUUAUAUCCUUUUAAGAACUUGAUGUUGUCCAUUUCUAUAAAUCUAAUCUUAGGAUUUCAGGGUCCCAUUUGUAGCUUACAAAGCUUGGCAUUGGAGCUAUUCAUUGUGCGAUACUACAUUUUAGCUGUUAAAUCUUCUCUGGGACAGAAGAAAGUAAGCAUUUCUUUAUUUUAUUUCAGCUUAUGUGGAAGGUUGCGUUUCUAUGUAGUAAUGUACAUAGGUGGAGGUUAGAUUUCUCAUAUGUGACUUUCCAAACAAUAAACAAACAAUCAAUCAGAGACUAAUUUUGAUUCGACUGCCUCUUCACUAAUAUGUACUCACCAUCGCUUUCGUCUGCCUUCACCAUCCAUAUCCGCCAUUCACCACCCUAAACCUUGCCCGAUACAUCCGAACAUCGCCUCCUAUUUUCUGAUUUCUUUCUUCGUACGCCAAAUAUGUCCAAUUUAGGUUUGCUUCUGAUUUCUUUUUCUAUAAAAGUAACUUUAUUUUCUGCAAAAAAAUUGAUUUCCUGAUUUUUUUGCUUUUGAUAUUGAUUAUAAAAUUUGAAUUCUGCAAAAUCGAUUUCAUUUUCUAAAUUUCUGAAUUCUACAAAAUGGAGAUAUGAUCAUAGUUUUUCCCUGUGUGUGCUGUGUGCUAGGGGCUAACAUGAGGAUAUUCGAUCUAUACUAGGUCAUAUUUUUUGAUUUUUUUUCUAGAACAAAAAGACUAGAAGAACAAACCUACAACUCGAUACACCCCUCUAUCUCAAUUAGAUAUGACUAUUUCAUGUGAAUGUGGGACCCAUGUGUUCAAACAUACUCAACAUGAAGGUUUGAUGCUAAUUAUGAUUCAAUUUUAUGCAUUUUAAAUAUCUCUUAAGAAUGUAAGUUUUGGUUGUAACUGUUUCUAAUGCAGAUUUCAAGGUUUCAAGUGUGGGAUCUUCUCUUCCUCCACUGGAUUCUUGAUGAUAUUAAUGUUAAAGCAAUAGGGGGGAAAGAUACAUAUAGAGUGUAAGUUUUGAAAAUUUUUGAUUCAAUAAUAAUGCUUCUUUUGACAUUUUGGGGCUAUUAACUGUUCAGUUUUAUGUAGAUUAUUAGGUAGAACAAAAGAGAUAGAUAUGCAAAAGAUGUUGAUUAUGAGUAAUGAAAGAGAGUAAUAUGUAAAAGAUUUUGGUGCUAUUAACUGUUCAAUUUUAUAUACACAUACACUGUUUAGUUAGGGACUGGACAUGACGUAAGGGGUAUUCAUAUGUUUUAUAGCAGCUUUCAACUAUAGACCCAACAAUAAACCCACAAAGAUGUAGGGUUAAAGUGGUUCAAACUCCAAACCAAACAUGCCAAAAGAAUUAGGCAGUAGUAGCAAGGAGAUAAAUGCUUGAAUAAUGUAUAUACAUCAUCCAUAAUGCAACUAAAACCAAACCAUUAAGGGUAGAAUGGUCAAAACAAGCAAAAUUCUCCCACCAGCCAAUCUUGAAUAAAAAAGCACCAUGUCAUGUAUAAACAUAAGAAAUCUAGAUGAAUGCACCAAACAUCGCCACCUGAAAAAGCCAUGCAAGGGUAAAAUGUCAUAGUAUUGGAAAAAGCUUCAGCCAAAUCAACUCCACAUCAGGAACAAUCAAAUAUAGGUAAUCUGGUCUAAGAGUCCAAAAUCAAUUAUAUAAGCCAAUAGUUGUAUUUACUCUUCUGUUGAAUUUUGCAUAACCAUAUUUAUGAAUAUUGUAUAAAUGCAGUUAAUUCCCCACAUUUACUCAUUUUUUGCAUUUACUCUUCUGUUAUGUUCUUUAAUCUUACAGCUGAAGUGGUAGCAUGUUGCAUAUGGGCUUGAUCUGUUAUCAAAGAAGUUACUAUAUAGGAAACAAAAUAGACAUACAGCCAUAGUCAUAAGUAUACUUUUGUUAUGAUCCUUAUUACUUUUAUAUUUUACAUUGUUGUACACGUUUCAAAUCUUUAAUAUGUUUUUUUGUUUUCCGUUGUUUCAUCAAACUAUUUGGCCUUGGGUUACUACAUGUAUCUUGAAUCCUCAUAGUCAGGAGUCAAAUUCAUUCUAAUAUUUACGUAUAUGUUUUACAAUCAAUUGAUUUAUUUAAUCUAAUAUUUUAUACUUUAUGCACUCAAAUGGUUAAAUAUAUAACAAAAUUAAUACACAUAACUUUUUAGUUAGAUUCAACGUCAAACUUUAAAUUUAUUUUUCUAUUAAUGAAACUAAAAUAACAAGUUUUUUUGAUAAAAUGGCAUCGUGUCAUUGUUGGAACCUAAAAGUGAACCUCUAGCAAUCCUACCUACUUAUUACGAAGUGUGCAUGUUCCAAAGUGGGGUGUGGUCCGGAACACGGUCCGGACCAGGAAAGAAGACGAAGUGAAGACUGAAGGCAUUCUGGAAUGACUCUCAUGUCCGAAAUGAAUGUUGAUCCGGAAGAACAUUAAUUUGUCUUAGAGUAUUUAUUAUAUUUGUACUUGUAUUGAUGUAACGUUUCAUAGGAUUUAGUCUUUUAUCUUAUUUUGACAAUCGGAAUGUCAAAAAAUAUUUCUUUUGUCCGGUCCUAUGUAAACAUUCUAGUUAAUUCGCUGUAACCUUUACUCCUACUUAAAGAGAAUUCAAUACAAGUCAACUACUGAUCUUUCACUCAAAUCUUGGCUCUUUACUAAGUUAUUUCAUACAUUCUUCUUGUUCUUCAUUUAUUAACUUUACUUUGAUCAUUUACUCUUAUUCUUCAUUUAAUGACUUAAUCAUUUGUUGAAUACAUUAUCUAAGAUUUGACUGGUCUUUCCAGACUUGACUUGCAUUCAUUAGUAAGCAGACAUUGAUCUUAAGCAUUUACUCAAGGUUUGAGUUUUCAAACCUUGUCCCUGCGCAUCGAUCUUGUUCUCACAAUUGGUAUCAGAUCUUGAGUAGUUUUCCUUCAAAUCCAUAAGAUCAGAUUAUAGUUGGUUUGAAAUUACCUUGGUAUUUCAACCAUUUCUGUGUUUAGGAUAAAAGUUCUUCUAUAUACCACUAUAGCUUGAAGAUAUCUUAACUUCAUUGGCUGCUUCUAAUCCUCAACAAAUGAUUUCAAUGCAAAUCGCAAAUAGUGUGGGUGGCCCUACACGUGCCCCAUUACUAGCUGUGGAAGAAUAUGAUCAUUAGAAAGUUAGAAUGGAAAGGUUUUUACUGGCCAAAGAUUAAGGUGAAGAAAUCUGGAGAUCCGUCACAAAUGGUCCACAUGUUCCUGUCAGAACUGUUGUAAGGGAUGCAGCUGCUCAGCUCAUGUGUGAAGAUGAAACUCGCCCAGCUCCUCUAAAUGCAGAUGAUAUCGAGAAGCUUCAUGCUGAUCAAGUUUCUUUCUCUGAAAUGGUGUUUGGUGUUCCACCGUCACUCAUUGAACACAUCAAGCUUUGCAAAUCAGCCAAAGAGAUUUGGGACACUCUUCAGGAUCUGAUUGAAGGUUCAGAAAACAUGAAAGACAAGCGCCUCACCUCAGUUGUCAACGACUUUGACACCUUCACCACCACUCCUAGUGAAUUAGUGGCCUCUGCCUCCAACCAUUAUCGUAUUGUGGUGAAUAACAUGACUGCUCAUGGGAUUGUCCGAACUCCCGUGGAGUACAAUCUCAAAUUCAUAAACAGUCUUGGCAAAGGAUAAGGAAAUGAAAAAUCUUGUCUUCAAAGCAAUGGUUCUUUGAAAAAGUUGAAGCUUUAUCAACUUUUUGAUGAACUUCAAGGACAUGAGUCAAAUGUUGCUCAAACCAUAAGGGAACUCUCUAGAGGUCCUUUUUCCCUUGUCAGCUCUUUUGAAUCAACUAUUCCGAACUCAUCUACUUCGGAUCCUUUCAAACCCAUGUUCCAUCUAUUCAAACAUAUGCACCUACCUUAUCUCCACAAAGUUAUCCUAUUGAUGAUUCCAAAGCCAAGGACUCUGAACUCCGUUAUCAGCAGGAGUUUGCUUUACUCUAAAUGAAGUACAAACGUCCUUUCAAUUCCUCCUACAAACCAUACCAAAAUUGAUUCCAUGCUCCUUACCAGAACAAUCCUCAACCAUAUUCAGCUCCGAAACCUAAACACUCUUCAGAAAAUCCUCCUGCAUACAAACCAAACUCUACUUCAGAACCCUCUCAGAGCUCCAAAUCAGACAAACCAAAAAUUGUGUGUUAUAAGUGUGGACAUGCAAACCAUUUUGCUAAAGAUUGUCUGGCUGAUGCUCCGCAGAAACUAAAAAUAAGGAUUAUGCAUACUACGUCCAAAAGACCUAAGAGAUGGUUGAAAGAGAAAAAGCCUUUGUUAAAACGGUUUCAAGAGAUGUUGAAGGAUAUUGGUCAUCCGGGGAUGAUGAUGACAUGGUAACUGGAAGAAACAUGUUUCUGAUGGCAAGACAAACCAUUGAAUAUGACGAAGGGUAUUGGUCUUCAGGAUCAGAAGAUGAAGAUGAUGUUGUUGAACCUCACUAUUGCUACAUGGAAACCAAUGAUCCACCAAGACGAAGCAUUGUUCAGCAGGUAAAAUCUAUGAUCUCUGAUAAUAACUUUGACUUGUCUCUCUGUGAACCUUAUCUGACCCAAAUUCAAAUAGAUAUGAACACCAUCUAUAAAGCCUAUGAGUCUGCCAUAGACGCAAGUGAGAAGAAGGAGUGUGAGUUAAAUCGUCUUAGGUUACGUUUCGAGGAUAAAAAGUUGAAAAUCGAGUCUUUAGAGCGUGAACUUUUAAUGUUAAGUGAUGAAUGUAUCAUUUUUAAAGAUAAAUGUGAAAUCACCUAUUCCGAACGAUAUAUUUGAUUUCUGAUAAUAAACAUCUAAAUGCCAAGAUAGAUGCUUUGCAUAAUUCUGUAUACAUGCUUGAAGCAGACCUUCGGAUGACUCAUAAUUUUCAUCACCCAUGGUCUAAAGUACCUGGUCUCGGAAGCGGGUUUCUGAAACCAAUUGCUAGUCCCCUGAAGGAGUUACAAAAUUUCACAUUCAUGGGAGAAGUUUCGAAUAUUAAACAUUCAGACACCCACGUUUCUCCCUUGUCACCACUUUUAGAGACUUCAAACCAUUUCAAGUCAUUAAUUCCUGAGUUUAAACCAAUUGUUGUCAAGUGUCCUGAUUUCACGCCACUUCCGCCUCUGACUAACAUGGACUUGAAUCAGACCACAAAAUUUGAUUAUAGUCUUCCAAAUUGCGUAGAUUAUGUUCCUAUGAGUAAUCACACAAACAACUGUGUAGCUGAAGAAAUUCCUUCCUUGGCAACUGAAGCGGACACCUCUGAGUUUGUAUAGGCAUCCUUAGAUGAUAAAGUUGAAAAUCAAGUUGUGUCUCCUCUGAUUCUUGCGAAUCGGAUUCCUUAGUGGUCUCAAAAACUAAGUUGGUUUCCAUUACUCCUAAAUUUAGCGAUGCAUCCGCAGGGCAACCCUCAAAAUCCUUACCUCCCACUAAAAGAAAACCAAUGUUGAAUAGGAAGGAUGUUGUAGAUCCCAAAGUAGAAGCUCAAAAUGCACAUAAGAAAGUAGUCAAAACUAGACUAAAUUCCACGUUCAUUGAAAACUCCAAACCAAGUGCGUCUUGGAAUUCACAUGCAUUACCUCACUGUCAAAACUCUUUUCCUCCCACUAAGAUUCUCAAAAGACCUUCUGAAUCUCCCAGUCGCAUAGAACCCAAGAAAGUAGACGAUUCUACUUGGCCUAAAUCUCGUGUGAAUGUCAACACAGUCCAAAACACCUUUCCUCGAACUGUUUCAUCUGUUUUUAUUGCAAAAUCUGAUGGGACAAUUUUUAAACCAAAUCCUUCUAAAACCAACAUGUCAUCGAGCAAACCCAAAAAUGUAGGGAAAACAUCUUUUUCAAAAUCUUGUGUGGAAAGCCAAAACUUCCAUUAAUGAAAAGUCAAUUCCAGAGGUUACAAAUGUUACCCACACUCUGGAAGUCAUAAGUCCAAAGAAGACUGUUCGGAACCCUCAAGUCAUAGAAUAUGACUACUGGAUAAAUGAAAAGACAUUGACCUUCUGUCUGUUUCCAAAAACUUCAAAGAAUAUCACCCAAAAACACAAAGUUGUUCCAAAGUCACCAUCAAAGUCUAAAUCUCAUGCCUACGUCCCAAAGUCUAAUUCGGAGCCUAAAAACUCCAUUACUCACUAAUUUUGCAGGCACUUUAUGCUUCAGAGCAAAAUACAAUAUGAUAUAUUGAUAGUGCUUGCUCCAUGCACAUGUCGAGGCAAAAAGAUUUUCUACGAGACUUAAAGCUUUCUCUAAAUGUUGAUUAUGUGAUAUAUGGCAACAACUCCAACUCUCGACGUGUGGAAUUUUGCAAGAAGUAAAGCUAUGUAAUGACCGAAGAUCGAACAGAGUGCUUAAUCAAGUCGCUUCGCAACAAGAAUAUGUACCCAAUUGACAUCAACAUGAUUAUUGUCAAACCACAACUCUGCCUUCUCUCCAAAGUUGUUCCUGACAUCAGUUGGAUAUGACACUGAAGGCUCACUCAUCUAAACUUUCGGUACAUUAAUGAUCUCGUAUCUGUUGAAAUGGUGAGAGGUUUACCUCUCCUCAAAUUCGAAAAAGAUCAUUUGUGUGUUGCGUGUGAGUGUGGUAAGCAAUCGAUGAAAGGUCAUCCUGUUAUCAUCGAAAAAUCCAUUUUGAAACCAUAGGAGCUUCUAGAUAUCGAUCUUUGUGGACCAUCUACGGUUGAAAGUCUUCAUCAUAAGAAAUACAUUCUUGUGAUUGUCGAUGAUUUUACCCGGUUCACUUGGGUUUUAUCCUAAGGCUGAAAUUCGAAACAGCCUCAGAGCUCAUAAAUUUUGUUAAAGGAAUAUAAGUUCUUAUCAAACUCCCAGUCAGGAGAAUCCAAAGUGAUAAUGGAUCGGAGUUCACUAAUUCCACCAUUGAAAAGUUUCUCACAGCAAAAGGAAUUUCCCACAACUUCUCAGCCCCCUAUACUCCACAACAAAACGGUGUAGUCAAAAGACGUAAUAGAACUCUCGUUGAUGCUGCUCGAUCUAUGCUGAAUUUUGCAAACCUACCACUCUAUCUUUGGGCUGAUGUCGUGUCUACUGCCUGCUUCACUCAAAAUCGAAGUAUCAUCAAUCGACGCCUCAACAUGACACUGUACGAAGAAAUAAAUGGUCGGAAGCCAACAAUGUUGUUUUUGCAUGUUUUCGGAUCCAGGUGCUUCAUCAAGAACAACCGUGAUCAGCUUACCAAGUUCCAACCUAAAGCUGAUGAAGCCAUCUUCCUUGGGUACUCAUCAAAAUCAAAAGCUUACAGAGUUCUUAACCGGAGAACUCGUGUUCUGGAAGAAAGCUUUAAUGUUACUUUCGAUGAAAACUUCGUUCGGAAUUCUGGCCCAACUUACAUUACAACUCACAUUAUGGAGUCCGAUGCUCCUCCGCCAGGAUGUUCGAACCCCCAAACAAUCCUUGAAGUUGAUUUUGAAACAUUCUUUGGUCCUUCCGAAACUACUCUUGAUUCGGAAUCUCGAUCAAGACCAACUCUUAUUCCAAUCCAUACUUCGGAAGCUUCCAUCUCACAUAAUGUCUCCGGUCAAAUCCCAAGCCUCCCUCCAUUUGAUUCCGAAGCAUUUCAACCUUCUCUGGUUGAGGGGGAGAAUACUCAUCCCUCUCUUGAAUCAAAUGUGGAUGGUUUCCAAGAUGCAGUUGCUGAUUUCGAUAAUUCCAAUCCUCUCAACAAUGAUGAAAAUGAAAACUUUUUUGAGUUACCUUCUGAUGAUGAUGUCAAUCUCUCUGGUUCAGAAGUUCAGGGGGAGCAUUAUCCUCACAUUCAAAUUAUUCAGGGGGAGCAAAUCAAUUACACUAUUGAUAUAGGAUCGAGGGCUGCACAAGAACUACCACGAUUACAUGUUUGGACAAAGGAUCAUCCUCCGAACCAAGUAAUUGGUAACCCAAAUGUUGGUGUACAGGCUCGUUCUGCUGUAAAUAUCCAAAAUGAAUGCCAUUUUUCAACAUUUAUAUCCAGGGUUGAACUCAAAUCCAUCAAGGAAGCAUUGGAGCAUGCUGACUAGAUUAUAGCCAUGCAAGAAGAAUUGACAGAAUUUGACCGAAAUGAAGUUUGGACCCUUGUGCCUUCUCGUCACAAUCAUCCCAUUUUCGGUACGAGAUGGGUAUUUCGCAACAUGCUAGAUGACGUUGGAGUUAUUAUUCGAAAUAAAGCAAGGUUGGUGGCAAAAGGAUUUACUCAGAUCGAAGGGCUCGACUACAAUGAGACUUUUGCUCCUGUUGCACGUCUUGAAGCCAUCAGAAUCUUUCUUGCUUAUGCUGCUCAUAAAGGAUUCAAAGUUUACCAAAUGGAUGUUAAGAGUGUCUUUCUUAAUGGUGAACUUGAUACUGAAGUAUAUCUUCAACAGCCCCCCGGUUUUGUUAAUCCUUCCUUUCGGAACCACUGUUACAAACUCCGGAAGGCUGUCUACGGACUUAAGCAGGCUCCUUGGGCAUAGUACGAGACCCUCACUGAUUUUCUCAAGCGCUCUGGUUUUCAAAGAGGAAUUCUAGAUCUCACUCUAUUUCGAAGAUCAAAUGGAAAACAUCUUAUGUUGGUACAAAUUUAUGUGGAUGACAUCAUUUUUGGGUCUACGGAUUCAUCUAUGGUUGCUGACUUUGCUAAAGUGAUGAUCAAUCGAUUCCAAAUGAGCAUGCAUCGGGAGUUAAACUUCUUUCUUGGCCUUCAAGUCAAACAGACUAAUAGAGGAAUCUUCAUUCACCAAGAGAAGUACAUUUUGGAACUCCUCAAAAAAUACUCAAUGGACACCUGUACCUCAGCCAAACUACCAAUGGGCUUCGGAUACAAGAUCUUUCCCGACCCUUCAGUUGUUUCAGUUGGCAAAAAGAAAUAUUGAGGAAUGAUUGUAUCCCUACUCUAUCUCACAACAAGUCAUCCGGAUAUCAUGUUCUCAACAUGUUUAUGUGCUAGAUUUCAAUUCAACCCAAAGAUGUCAUAUCUCUUGGCUGUGAAACAAAUCUUCCGAUACCUUAAAGGCACAAAGAAUCUCGGAAUUUGGUACUCAAAAAAUGAAAGCUUCCUUCUUCAAGCAUAUUUAGAUUUGAACUACGGUGGUCUUCAACUUGAUAGGAAAAGAACUUCAGGUGGUUGUUAAUUCUUAGGAGGUCGUUUGGUUAGUUGGUCAUCCAAGAAACAGAACUGCAUUGCACUAUCUACAGCCGAAGCAGAAUACAUCGUUGCUGCCAGCUGCACAUCUCAGGUUCUGUGGAUGAAAUCUCAACUCUUGCACUAUGGUUACCAUUUUCAACGUAUUCCUAUCUAUUGUAACUCUCAAAGUGCUAUUAUGAUUUCCCAGAAUCCAAUUCAUCACUCAAUGACUAAGCACAUCGAUAUAAGGUACCAUUUCGUAAAAGAUCACGUACUUAAUGGUAACAUUGAACUCAUUUUUGUUCCAUCUGACGAUGAGGUUGUUGAUGUCUUUACCAAGGAAUUAGACGAAACCAAAUUCAAUGGUUUUCUAAACACGAUGAGUAUGAUGAUACCAGAUCCUCAGUUCCUUCAAGAGACUUGUUAUAUUUGAUAGACGUAUUUGGAAGAAAUCUAGUUCCGAUCUCAAACUAUUUUCAUCUCGGAACUACUUUUUCUUGGAAUACAUAGGAUCAUUUUACUUAUCUUUAUUUCUGACCAUCUGUCACACCCCAAAACCGGAACGGCGGAAACGUUCUGGGGUGGAUGACGUCAUGUCAAGUAUCACAACACAUGCAUAUAGUAAUCAAAGUACAACAAAACAUUGCAUUAAUAGUAAUAAUUUUACAUGGUUACAUUACAUAAUAUCAAAGUAAUACAAGCAACAUAUAUAAAGUGCAGCAAGGUACUUAGGCCAUCUUCAUCAGCAGCUCCGGGGAUGUACCUGUCUAAUUUGCUUACCUGAGAUUACAAGUUAUUUGAAAAGCGAGUAUCAGCAUUUUUACAAAUGCUGGUGAGUUCAUAAGCAUUUAGUGUUAUUUAAUCAAAUAACUUUAAUAAGUAGUAGUGUAAGUGCUUUCAGUGCUUCAGUGUCCUUUCCAGAAAAUCCUAUAUUUUCUUUAAAUAAAGCAGCCUUCUACCAAGACUGUUUCAGUGCAUUGUGGUAAGAGGUAGUUUUCCCUUAACUGACAUUGUUAUCAAAAUACUGAAUUUGAUUAUUUAAGAAAGCAGGAGACAUCAGGGAAUAACAUAUGCCUCAGCAGUGAGAACUGCUGACUAAGGCAAAGAAUCAUAGACUCCAGGAGGGUAUCGAACUGACGACACGCCUGGUUCAGUCUAACAAAGGGGAGACAUAGACCCCAGAAGGUACCAAACGAAAGGUACAACUGGUAAGGUCUAAAACAGUAAAUAUAGACCGAAGACGAUACCAAAUGAAAGGUAUCUCUCACAAGGUCAGAACAAAGACUACGGACCCCAGACAGUAUCAAUUGAAAGAUACAGCUAGCAAGGUCGAAACAGAGACUAUAGACCCCAGACAGUAUCAAAUGAAAGAUACAGCUAGCAAGGUCGAAACAGAGAUUAUAGACCCCAGACAGUAUCAAAUGAAAGAUACAGCUAGCAAGGUCGAAACAGAGACUAUAGACCCCAGACAGUAUCAAAUGAAAGAUACAGCUAGCAAGGUCGAAACAGAGUGACUCUGAAAAGUGACAUCAGCAUACAGUGUAAAUUGCUGACGAAAAUACCGUUACCUUAAAGCCAUGAAUUAUAAGGCAACCCAGGAUACUCGUAACCAUACUGACUAGAGUUCCAGACGCCCUACAAGCAUCUAUAUAAUAUGACAUUUGUCACCCCUUGGCUUGGUGGGCCGUGGACUGUAGCUAGCAGUCAGGGUGCGGGGUUGUCAAUCCCGUAUAGGCCUAUACACACAAUGUCCGCUCUCCCUACAGGAGACUCUGGUUACCAACUAGACGACGGAGAAGGCCGCGUCCCGAAGAUGCAUCCCAAAUAGAGAAUAGUGUGUUUCUUGAGGGGAGUGGGUUUCUAAUACAAAUGAUAUACUAGAGGUAGAGACUUCCAAACAGUGGGUAGUGUGUUUCUAAAGUAAGUGUAGAAUAGAUGAAGAGACUCUUAAUUGACUUGACUAGAGAAUUCCCUAUAUGUCCAUACCCAUAUACAUAGUAUUUAACUAAUGGACCAAACGACCUUCGGACGGCUACCCGAUCCCACCAGACCACAUCUCAACGAAGAAAAGGAAAUAGGGCCGAUGAGCCUUCCUAAGUCUUUCAGUCAUUACUUAUAUAUACCUAUAUAAGUACGGACAUACAUCUAACUAUGACUAAGUGGGUAUCAAGUGAAAGUGAUUCUCGUGAAGUAGGAGUGUCUAAUAAGUGAAGCAAGAGCGGUCGCAAGUGAAGUAUAAGUGUCGAAUAAGUAUAGGCGCAUCGCGAAGUAGAUAUGACCACAAGUGAAGUAAGAGCGUAUCAAGUAUAAGUGAAGUAAAGUCGAUCUCAAAUACAAGCGAAGUAGAAUCGUAUCACUAAGUAAGAGGGUAAAUAAGUAUAAGCGUUAUCAGGUAUAAGUGACUUCAGGUAUAAGCAAAAACAUUACAGAGUAGGAGCAUAAAAUAAGUAUAAGCGAAGCAGUGGUAUCUAACAAUUAAAAGUAUUCAUGAAAAACCCUUAAAGAUUUUGUUACUCAGGAAAAUCGCAUUUGUAUUCUUUGAUAAAAUAGGUGUGAAAAUCUUUAGAAAUCUUUGAGAAUCUUUUAUAAAUCAGUUGAAAUGAGUCUUUGAUAAGCUAUGAAAGUAAGAACUUGAACAAUUUAAAAACCCUUUUUGAAAGCCAUUUAUAGUGUCCUACUCGGUAAAACAGUGUACAGUGGUAAAAUCUUGUGCAUGCGGGUUAUCAAUCACAUGUGAUUGAUAUGAUAACUGGCAUGUUUAACUUGUAAUCCCCCCCUAUGAAAACAUUUAAAAGCAUUAAAAAGGUUCAUUCAGGGGUAUGAACUCACCUGGUAUAAGUAGGUCCGACGGUAGUGCCGUUUAGGCGUUCGGGGUCACGCAAGGACUUGAACACACACAAGGACCUAUUUUAACAUAUGAUAACAUAUGUUCACAUACAAUUAGCAUAUAAUAUACUAAUUAAACAAUUAUACACACUCAAAGGAGUGGAAAACACUUUUGGUUGAGUGUUUGGGGUCCCGGGUAGCGUUUAAGGGUGCUAAGGGUCUCCUAUCAGUUGUGGGACUUUGCUAUGCUCAAGUAUCAAGGGUGUAAAGGGGUUUAAAGCAUCAAUAUGGACCAAACAAGGAGUUUACGGCCCAACCUAAGGGAGUUUACGGCCGUAAACUCCCAAGGUCAUGUUCUUGGGGUUUUGAUGCUUCUAGCUUGUUCCUUGAUUUAUUCUAAGCACUUUUCAUCAAAGGCAUGAUUGGAUUUGAGGUUCCUAAGGGCCUUAUAAUGGAGUUUACGGCCUAAGAACAACUCCUAAAGGAGUUUACGGCCGUAAACUCUAAAUCAUUGAGUUUUGUGAUGUUUCAAGCCCCUAAUGCCUUUCUAGUGAUUUCUAAUGAAGUGUGAUGCCAUUUUGGGUGAUUAAAACCAACAUUUGAGGGGGUUUUGGGGAGUUUACGGCCUAGAUAAUGCUUGGGCCGUAAACUCCAAGAAAUCCCUCAUUUUCCUUGUGUUUAAGCCCUUAAUUCCUUUCUAGCAUUUUAUAGAAAUAGCCUAUGGUCAUUUGGGGGGCAAAAACUACAAUUUUGGGCAUGAAUUAGGGUGUUUACGGCCUUGACCAUGUCUGGGCCGUAAACUCCUUUCUUUAAUUCAUUUUGGAGUGUUUCAAGGGUCUAAACUCAAGAGGAUAAGUCCCUAAAUUAUGUAAUAAGCCCUAGGAUGAGUUUGGUGCACAUUUGGGACCAUGACUUGUGGAGUUUACGGCCUAAGCAUGUGCUUGGGCCGUAAACUCUUCUUUGAGUCCUAAAUCCAUGCAUUUUAGUGUUUAAACACCCCUAGGCUAUAUCCCCUAAUAGUUUCUAAGCUCAUGGUCAAGUUUAAAGGCAUUUUUAACACCUUUUUAGGGGUUUACGGCCCUAGAAUGUUCCUGGGCCGUAAACUCCUUAUCUUAUGCCUUCUUGGAUGAUUUUUGGGCUAUAAACAUAAAUCAAUACGCUUAGAAUAAGUUAGGGUAAGCGGACUUACAAUUUGGAAGCGUUUGGUUGCGAAUUCGGGGCGAAAACGGGUCUAGAGAGAGAGUAUAGAGAGAGAGUGUAAAAAGUCUCCAAUGGACUCCACUCACCCAUAUAUAGGUUUCACAGUCGGGGCUCAGUGGAAUUUUACCCGAUACUGCCGUUAAACGGGGCUUUUGGUCGCACCCGAUUUAGUGGUCGUAAUAAUAAAACUUGACAUUUUCCAAAUGAAUGAAAAUGUGUGUCCUGUGUUUUUAUUUCCUUUUAUCACGACUUAACGGCAUGUUAACGGUAACCAAAUGGAAUGUUUAUUAAAUUGAUGCCCUCUAAUUAACGGAACUUUUAUACAGUGGAAUAUUCCGUUAACGGUAACGGGGAAAUGUAACGGGACAACUUGGGUUGUCACAUCAUCCCCCCGUUAGAGGGAAUUUCGUCCCGAAAUUCAAGUCUAGACAAGGAAGUAGGCAUGAAUGGCCAAGUAGAGAUGAGGGAGUACUUCCUAUACGGUUGCCCUUGCAUUCCCAAGUGAUCUCUAGUCUGUGUUUGUCCUUCCCACAGAUCUUCACAUACGGGAUGCGCAUUCCGUCUAGUGUAGCUAGCGGGUUCCGACUGGUGUAUCUAUGAAGUCAGGGUUCUCGAUGGAUUCUAUCAAGAUGAGUGAGGCACGAAGAGUGUUGUCGGAUAAUCGCAUAUCAAGUCUAAGAAGUGGAUCGGUCGAAUGUGAAUCUUGUGGUAUAUCCGAAAGUAGUAGUGGUCUGAAAAGGAUUGGACCAAAUUUCCAUGAGGAUUCCCGGAUGGUCCUACGCUCUAGGAAGGGUAGAGCCUUUCAGUACUUAGAACAUAGUGUACUUCUAUGGCAAGAUCAUCACUGGCGUGAUCGCCAUUCCGAAGUUCCUAACGUUCUCUCUCGUACUGGUAGUGUAGUCCUUCGGGUUGGUUCUUAGGAAUCUCAAGUGGUCUUCAGUUUCAUGCUUUCUUUCCACUGGAUGAUAGAGGCUUCCUAGAUCGUCAAGUGGGUUGCGCGACUAUGGUCAUCGGUUUGCUAUAGAGUGUCUAUCUCCAGCUUGUGCAAAAUGGACCUGCACUAACGACGCUUGAGAUACGGAAACCCUGAGAAUCGGGGAGAUAGGGUUUCACCAGACGAGUGUUGGACUAUCUCGCGAGGUAGUUCUACUAUCUCUGCUUGAGAUAGUAUUCGGAGAACACCUAUUAGUCCAAGGAAUCUCUAAGACUGUGGUUUAUUCUAGCGUGGAAAGUGCGUGCUCCGACGUAAUCCCUCGACUAACACCAAGGCUGGUGUCGAGUCUAUAAUCUUUUCGGGAUCCGUGUCAUGAGAUUUAACGCAACUACUUUCGCACUUGACCAAGUAUUCUUGGCUGCGAAGGUUACCCUGUGGUUCUCGGUAUUCUAGUGUUUACCUCGGGAAAUAUGAUUCAUCAUCUACGAGGCGACGACGAUUUUCCUCCUUGUGAGAGGGUGGAGGAUGAUAAGCACUACCUGCCUAUAACUGGGUGGGCAAGGUGCAGGAGUAGUGCGAGCACCUACCGCAACUAUUCUCCCAAAGGUUCUGAGUUUUCUCGGUCUAAGGCAAAUCUAGUGGGCAUAGGGUCUCUUCACUCGGAACUCUACUAGCUCAAUCCGCAGUAGUUCUCUUGAUUUUCUGCUCCUAUGUCAUCGAAUGGGGUGAAAGUGUUUUGCGAAGAGGUUCAUGGUAGAACUCAUGCGUGGCUUAACUGCCCAUACUUGAUGGAUGCCAGCAGUACACCUGGUCAUAGUGGCCAGCCUCAUGAGUUCUAUUCUCUGGGUUCACGAACCUUAUGUGUGAGGUGAGGAGGGUCACCCAGGGAACUCAACGGAGUAUGCCUCGGAUGGUUGUCGUUUUCUGAGGUAUUUGCAGUGCCUUUCACUUUGGUGUUCAUUUGACUACGAGGGGUCGAUCGACGGCGUGGGGUACCCUCACUUGAGUACUUCGGAAGGUUUGAGAUAAGAGGGACGAUUGACGAAUUGCAUUAGAUGUGAUUAUUUGUGUUAGGUUCGGGUUCGGAGGAACCUUUAUUUGCCGAUAUGGCCAUGGAGAAAGCUCACAGCACUAAGAAUGUACACAUGGUUGCACGAAGUCAAACCGUGCUCAAUAGAGUCGUCGAAGUUGGCUCACUUCGACAUGAUAUAAAGUGAAGAUCGAUAGAGUCAUGUGCCGAACAGGCACACAAGUUCUAGGCGUCUCGGGUUUCGUCCCAUAUAUCGCUACCGCGGAUACUUGGACCGAUAGAGUCGACGCGGAACUAUAGAGAGUUCUAAGUGUUUCCGAAUAGAGUAUCUUUUCUUGAAUGGAUUCUCACGAGGCAUUUCUACAAUCGCCUCACAUAUACUAGUCAUGUAUAUUUAAGGUGGGGAGGACUGUUGACUGAGCGACCCCGCCCUAAAUCCACAACCAAACGAGGAACAGGAAAUGAGGCGGCAUUCGCUCACUCUAGGUCUAUCCAUCCUAAAUAUACAUGGCCGUAACGUAUAUGUUUAGCCAUUGUAGUUUUACCUAAUGAAAUUUUAAAUUUUAUAACAGUGCUGCGACUUUCACCUUACUAGAAAGAAUUUAUACUUGAAUUAGUCUUUUAUUGUUUUCUUAGCUUAGUUAUCCGGGAUCGAGAGACGUACCAAAAAUCCAACGAGUUUCUUUGCUGCUUCUUCCUAAGCAGUAGUGUCAGGCUCCUUCUGUGUCUUUGUCUUUCUCUUCAGUUGGGCAGUCCCUCUUAAAGUGUCCCAUUUUACCACAUAGGUGGCAAACUAUACGGGUCGCCACAUUGGUGGUUGGUGUAAUGAACUCAACCGGGGUUCUGCAGACACGAGCAGUAUGCCCCAGCAUGUGGCACCUAGCACAAUAAAGUUCCCGGCAGGUACCAUGAUGAUGGUAGCUGCACUUGCUGCAGUGGGGAAGGUCUCCUAGGUAUGGUCUUCUUGAGGUCGGGAGGGAAGGAUUUACAGGGGUAUCGACUGCCUCAGCUCGUUGCCCUUCGGAAGGUCCUGGAGCCGAGGUACUUCCCUCCUCUAUCUUGAAUUUUCUCUUUAGUGGGUUAAGUGGAGGUUCUUGGGUGGCUGAGUGGGGAAGAGUGGGUUGCUGCCGUCCAUUGCCAGAAUUAGAAAUCCCGACAGGGCCCUUGCUAACAUUGGCGUUGUUAGCAUUCAGGUGAGCCAUGACAGCUGCUGAGACUGCAGCUUGGAACGUAGCUUCAUCGAAUAAGAGGGCAGGUUUCUUGCUUGCGGAUUGGUUACGCUUCUUCGGUGGCAUGGUUUUUCCUACACGGAGAGGAAUACAAGGUAAUGAGAGAUGAUGGUUAACCCUGGACAUUUCUGUCCUGAACGCAUUAGGCAUAAAUUUUUCCCGUGCCUCGGGUACUAGUUGUUUGAACGUUGACCUACAUCCCUAUGAUGUAGUCCUGGAAAUCAAGGUAAGAGUAUGAGUAUCGGAAAAAGGCCAUAAGAUGCGAGUCGUUCCUACUAAGUUACUUUUAUACAUGGAAAGGUUUCACUCUCCGGCCUGGAGAGAAUUGAGAACGGUUCGGAACGAAAUCGUGGAAAGGGAAACUCACAAGGGCAGAUGGCUAAAAUUUUCUCAAUAGAGAUGUGGGGAUCCGCCCUAAUCGCGUAUCUGGCAACGGGAAACGACGAUUUACCUAACACAUAGCGUGAGUAGUGUAACCACUAACUCACUAAACUGCAUCAUUUUUAAGGGUGAAUUAUCGUGGCGAAUACGAGGAAAAGACAAUUCCCGGGUUCUAUGUACUAGCUCCCUCGGUCUGCCUCGUAUCUUUGGCUGGAAUCGGCGUUGGCUUCCUUCGGGUAGUUUCCUAGGGUUCUCUUCUUGUAUGGACAUAUCGAAUUUCUACUCCGCCUUCCUUCUGAUUCCAACUAUGGGUGUCAUCACUUCAUGAUGGAUGACUAGGAAUCUCCGAAGUUUAGGCGAAUCUCUCACCACUGUCCUUAAGAGAAUAUGGGCACUUGGUGCAUUCAAUAGUCUCGACCCAGUUCAUUUAUUUCCGAACAGGAAAUCUUCUCAAUGAAUCUCCUCGGGGUCGGAAUCAACUCUUCUGUCAAGCACUGAAGUGGGUAGGGUUUUCUACAGGGUUCGCGCGAGAAUGGAAAUGUCUAAAGAAUCCUAAGGGAUUAUUAACAUUUCACUGUAUGAUCCAUAUCGAGUCCUGCUACGAUUACACAGGGUAUACAAAUCCUAUAUAGCUUAGAUCCGAUAGGCCUUCGAAUAUGUGAUACUACUCUAGGACCACAUCCCAACGAGGAAAAGGAAACAGAGCGAAACCACACCUUCUUAGCCUAUGGGGUCUUUAUUAUAUAAGAUCUUGGAAGUACACCCUCUGUAGUUGUAGGUAUAUCGAUAAGGGUCUUUUUAAUUAUUCACGCAAGGUUGUUUAUAGAUUCUAAAAUACCCCCAUGGUAUUUUAAUUCUUGAUUGAGUCUUAUCUUCUGAUUAUGAUUCUGGGAUUAGUGUGGAUCUUUUAGCGUUCUAAAAUACUCCUAUAGUAUUUUAACUUUAUGUUUGGCUCUAGAAUUCCUAUUUGGUAAGUUUCAGAUCUGCUGCACACCACUAUCACUCCCGAGCACACGUUCAUCGCAUCUCGGAUAAAUGUAGUUGAUCAGGUUACAUUUAUCCCAGCUUACGAUUACAUAACUGCCCAGGUUUGACUGUAGUGCUCAACAUCCGAAGACUUUUAUUAUUGUCCUUCUUGUGAUACUUUUGUUCGAGUGCUUAGAUUCUGGAUGUUAUUAUACUUUGGUAAAAUAUGGUUAUAUUUUAAAGUAUAAUUCUUGGUCAGAGUGUUUUAUCCCAUUGCAUUUAUAGGCUGUAUAUCUUUUAUGAAUUGAUAUACUUAGCUCACUAUAAACAAUGCUCUGAUACCAAUCUGUCACACCCCAAAACCGGAACGGCGGAAACGUUCUGGGGUGGAUGACGUCAUGUCAAGUAUCACAACACAUGCAUAUAGUAAUCAAAGUACAACAAAACAUUGCAUUAAUAGUAAUAAUUUUACAUGGUUACAUUACAUAGUAUCAAAGUAAUACAAGCAACAUAUAUAAAGUGCAGCAAGGUACUUAGGCCAUCUUCAUCAGCAGCUCCGGGGAUGUACCUGUCUAAUUGCUUACCUGAGAUUACAAGUUAUUUGAAAAGCGAGUAUCAGCAUUUUUACAAAUGCUGGUGAGUUCAUAAGCAUUUAGUGUCAUUUAGUCAAAUAACUUUAAUAAGUAGUAGUUUAAGUGCUUUCAGUGCUUCAGUGUCCUUUCCAGAAAAUCCUAUAUUUUCUUUAAAUAAAGCAGCCUUCUACCAAGACUGUUUCAGUGCAUUGUGGUAAGAGGUAGUUUUCCCUUAAUUGACAUUGUCAUCAAAAUAUUGAAUUUGAUUAUUUAAGAAAGCAGGAGACAUCAGGGAAUAACAUAUGCCUCAGCAGUGAGGACUGCUGACUAAGGCAAAGAAUCAUAGACUCCAGGAGGGUAUCGAACUGACGACACGCCUGGUUCAGUCUAACAAAGGGGAGACAUAGACCCCAGAAGGUACCAAACGAAAGGUACAGCUGGUAAGGUCUAAAACAGUAAAUAUAGACCGAAGACGAUACCAAAUGAAAGGUAUCUCUCACAAGGUCAGAACAAAGACUACGGACCCCAGACAGUAUCAAAUGAAAGAUACAGCUAGCAAGGUCGAAACAGAGACUAUAGACCCCAGACAGUAUCAAAUGAAAGAUACAGCUAGCAAGGUCGAAACAGAGAUUAUAGACCCCAGACAGUAUCAAAUGAAAGAUACAGCUAGCAAGGUCGAAACAGAGACUAUAGACCCCAGACAGUAUCAAAUGAAAGAUACAGCUAGCAAGGUCGAAACAGAGACUAUAGACCCCAGACAGUAUCAAAUGAAAGAUACAGCUAGCAAGGUCGAAACAGAGAUUAUAGACCCCAGACAGUAUCAAAUGAAAGAUACAGCUAGCAAGGUCGAAACAGAGACUAUAGACCCCAGACAGUAUCAAAUGAAAGAUACAGCUAGCAAGGUCGAAACAGAGUGACUCUGAAAAGUGACAUCAGCAUACAGUGUAAAUUGCUGACGAAAAUACCGUUACCUUAAAGCCAUGAAUUAUAAGGCAACCCAGGAUACUCGUAACCAUACUGACUAGAGUUCCAGACGCCCUACAAGCAUCUAUAUAAUAUGACAUUUGUCACCCCUUGGCUUGGUGGGCCGUGGACUGUAGCUAGCAGUCAGGGUGCGGGGUUGUCAAUCCCGUAUAGGCCUAUACACACAAUGUCCGCUCUCCCUACAGGAGACUCUGGUUACCAACUAGACGACGGAGAAGGCCGCGUCCCGAAGAUGCAUCCCAAAUAGAGAAUAGUGUGUUUCUUGAGGGGAGUGGGUUUCUAAUACAAAUGAUAUACUAGAGGUAGAGACUUCCAAACAGUGGGUAGUGUGUUUCUAAAGUAAGUGUAGAAUAGAUGAAGAGACUCUUAAUUGACUUGACUAGAGAAUUCCCUAUAUGUCCAUACCCAUAUACAUAGUAUUUAACUAAUGGACCAAACGACCUUCGGACGGCUACCCGAUCCCACCAGACCACAUCUCAACGAAGAAAAGGAAAUAGGGCCGAUGAGCCUUCCUAAGUCUUUCAGUCAUUACUUAUAUAUACCUAUAUAAGUACGGACAUACAUCUAACUAUGACUAAGUGGGUAUCAAGUGAAAGUGAUUCUCGUGAAGUAGGAGUGUCUAAUAAGUGAAGCAAGAGCGGUCGCAAGUGAAGUAUAAGUGUCGAAUAAGUAUAGGCGCAUCGCGAAGUAGAUAUGACCACAAGUGAAGUAAGAGCGUAUCAAGUAUAAGUGAAGUAAAGUCGAUCUCAAAUACAAGCGAAGUAGAAUCGUAUCACUAAGUAAGAGGGUAAAUAAGUAUAAGCGUUAUCAGGUAUAAGUGACUUCAGGUAUAAGCAAAAACAUUACAGAGUAGGAGCAUAAAAUAAGUAUAAGCGAAGCAGUGGUAUCUAACAAUUAAAAGUAUUCAUGAAAAACCCUUAAAGACUUUGUUACUCAGGAAAAUCGCAUUUGUAUUCUUUGAUAAAAUAGGUGUGAAAAUCUUUAGAAAUCUUUGAGAAUCUUUUAUAAAUCAGUUGAAAUGAGUCUUUGAUAAGCUAUGAAAGUAAGAACUUGACAAAUUUAAAAACCCUUUUUGAAAGCCAUUUAUAGUGUCCUACUCGGUAAAACAGUGUACAGUGGUAAAAUCUUGUGCAUGCGGGUUAUCAAUCACAUGUGAUUGAUAUGAUAACUGGCAUGUUUAACUUGUAAUCCCCCCCUAUGAAAACAUUUAAAAGCAUUAAAAAGGUUCAUUCAGGGGUAUGAACUCACCUGGUAUAAGUAGGUCCGACGGAAGUGCCGUUUAGGCGUUCGGGGUCACGCAAGGACUUGAACACACACAAGGACCUAUUUUAACAUAUGAUAACAUAUGUUCACAUACAAUUAGCAUAUAAUAUACUAAUUAAACAAUUAUACACACUCAAAGGAGUGGAAAACACUUUUGGUUGAGUGUUUGGGGUCCCGGGUAGCGUUUAAGGGUGCUAAGGGUCUCCUAUCAGUUGUGGGACUUUGCUAUGCUCAAGUAUCAAGGGUGUAAAGGGGUUUAAAGCAUCAAUAUGGACCAAACAAGGAGUUUACGGCCCAACCUAAGGGAGUUUACGGCCGUAAACUCCCAAGGUCAUUUUCUUGGGGUUUUGAUGCUUCUAGCUUGUUCCUUGAUUUAUUCUAAGCACUUUUCAUCAAAGGCAUGAUUGGAUUUGAGGCUUCUAAAGGUAUUUUAUAGGAGUUUACGGCCUAAGAACUCUCCCAAGGGAGUUUACGGCCGUAAACUCUCAAUCUUUGAGUUUAGUGAAGUUUCAAGCCUCUAAUGCCUUUCUAGUGAUUUCAAAUGAAGUGUGAUGCUAUUUUGGAGGAUUAAAACUAACAUUUGAGGGGGUUUUUGGGGAGUUUACGGCCUAGAUAAUGCUUGGGCCGUAAACUCCAAGAAAUGUCUCAUUUUUCUUGUGUUUAAGCCUUUAAUUCCAUUCUAGCAUUUUAUGGUAAAUGUCUAAGGCCAUUAGGGGGGCAAAAAUCACACUUUUGGGCAUGAUUUAGGGAGUUUACGGCCUUGACUAUUCAUGGGCCGUAAACUCCUUUCUUUAAUUCAUUUUGGAGUGUUCUAGUGUCCUAAACUCAAAGGAAUAAGUCCCUAAAAUAUGUAAUAAGCCCUAGGAUGAGUUUGGUGCACAUUUGGGACCCUAACUUGUGGAGUUUACGGCCUAAGCAUGUGCUUGGGCCGUAAACUCUUCUUUGAGUCCUAAAUCCAUGCAUUUUAGUGUUUAAACACCCCUAGGCUAUAUCCCCUAAUAGUUUCUAAGCUCAUGGUCAAGUUUAAAGGCAUUUUUAACACCUUUUUAGGGGUUUACGACCCUAGAAUGUUCCUGGGCCGUAAACUCCUUAUCUUAUGCCUUCUUGGAUGACUUUUGGGCUAUAACCAUAAAUCAAUACGCUUAGAAUAAGUUAGGGUAAGCGGACUUACAAUUUGGAAGCGUUUGGUUGCGAAUUCGGGGCGAAAACGGGCCUAGAGAGAGAGUAUAGAGAGAGAGUGUAAAAAGUCUCCAAUGGACUCCACUCACCCAUAUAUAGGUUUCACAGUCGGGGCUUAGUGGAAUUUUACCCGAUACUGCCGCUAAACGGGGCUUUUGGUCGCACCCGAUUUAGUGGUCGCAAUAAUAAAACUUGGCAUUUUCUAAAUGAAUGAAAAUGUGUGUCUUGUGUUUUUAUUCCCUUUUAUCACGACUUAACGGCAUGUUAAAGGUAACCAAAUGGAAUGCUUAUUAAAUUGAUGCCCUCUAUUUAACGGAACUUUUAUACAGUGGAAUAUUCCGUUAACGGUAACGGGGAAAUGUAACGGGACAACUUGGGUUGUCACACCAUCACUUAAGUUUUUAAGUUGUACAGUUUAUUCUGAUUGAUUGUUGUUUUAAACCCACAUUGACCUUGAAUUCGAACUGUUAUCACGGAAUAUACUUCAUAAUGGCAUCCCAAAAUUCCACUCUCGAAAGGUACUAUGUUCUGCACUCAGGAAUUUCAAAAUCAACUCCGAAAGCUUUUCUAAAAUUUCACUCUGGAAAUUUUUGAAAAUCACUAUUCCGGAAUUUUUGCUCUAAACUCACCAACCCUUUCGAAUCAAACUGAACUUUUGUUCCAGAAUCACAAACCUUUUCAGCACACUAAAUUUUGACUCUGGAACUAAAACUCACUUCGGAUUAUAUCUUGUUCCGAAACCCUUUUUCAAAACAAGUAUGUUCCGGAAUGCAACUCUUUACCCUCCGGAACACACCAUGUCCGGAAUAGCUUAUCCGAAAGUCUAAAGGAUAAUAAUGUGAAACGUUUUUCUCUCAACGGUUACUUUUUUGGAAGAUCUCUAUCCUAUCUUCCUCGAUUCUCGUGACACGAUUUCAAGCCCCCAUAAUCGCAGCCAUCAACUCGACGGUUGUGUUUUCCAUUUUUAGCCACAAACAACCUCAUUUUUCACCUCCCAAGUCAACUUAGCCCCCGUAAACUUCUUUACCAUUUAAUGCGACCCAUUUUGUGUUCGGAUCCUCAUCAUUACUUUACCGACCAGACCCACCAACCUUACCUAUAUUGUAACACCGUAAAUUUUCAAAUAAAAUUUUCAUUUAAAAUCGCAUAUUUCUCAUAAUAUAUUUCAUAUAAAUCUCAUUUAUUCAAUUUACAAAUCAUAAUUCCAUACUUGUUUGAUUAAAAUCCAGGAUCUUCAAAAGAUAACUCUUUCACUAGUGUAUGUACAAUCAAGCCGGUGCCUUCCCGUGAUUCUGAGAAACCUGAAACACAUAACACAUAACACGGUAAGCAUGAAGCUUAGUGAGUUCCCCAAAAGACCACAUACAACACAUUAGCCACACGAGGCUAUAAUUCUGUAUGACCCUCUAGUCCAUGUGUCUCAGUGGGACCCUCCAGUCCCACAACUCUGAUGGAUCCUUUGCUCCUAACUCUGUGGAACCUCUAGUCCUAACUCUGUAAACUCUAAGAAAUACACAACAUGAAUCACAAAGAAAUAAUGAAGGAUAUCACGAUACACAGAUAAGCACAUAAGAAAUCUAUAUCACACAAAAUACCACUCAUGGUAAAGUAUAGUGAGAAGACUCACCUCGACAGCAAGCAUGCAUCCCCGUACUCAAAUCUCGAACUAGCCACUUCCUACACAUAGGGUAGUUACCUCAAUAAAUACUCGAUUCUCGAAUCUAAGCAACCAAAAUUUAUUCUUCUCUCUUUGAUCUGAUUCCUCAUUCAGAUGAUUUCAAACAGAUCUAUCACUCCAAACAUUAGAUCUGCCAUCUCAAGGCCCAAAAAGAAUGUAAAGCUUCGAUCUUUAUGUUUAUGCAUGAUGUUAUUGCUCCAAAAUGCUAAUACAAGCCCUUCAUGAGUGAUUAAGCCCAAAAACCCUCAUAUGGAUGCAUAAAGUUGGGACACCUAGACUCUAAGGACCUUACAAGGUCUAGAUCUGAGGUCUAGACUCUUUGAUAACUCAUGCUAUUCAAAACCCCCAAACAAAAGAUGGAAAAAAAGCCCUAAAACUCCAUAUAUAUGAGAUCUAUCCAAAACACGAAGAAAGGUGAAGACUUCAUACCUUCCUCAGGAGCUCUGGACAGGAAAUCACUGGAUCCAAGGAGUGUAAUAAUGCCCUAAUCCCUUCCAAAGGCCUAGCCACCAAGUAGAAAUGCUUCAAAGGACUUGUAAAACCUCAAAACAACAUAUGGUCAUAAGGUGUAGAGUUUACGACCGUAACCCCUUGAGUUUACUGCCGUAAACUCCUUGGGUAAUGGUCAUGAAAACCGUAAACUCCAAAGGAGUUUACCCUUGAACCCCAAACACUCUAGCUUUGCCCUACAAACACUUGGAUGCAACCCUUGUGAUCUUUAACACUUGAAACAAAGUGUUUUCAUGUUCUAGAGUGUCCCAACUUAAUUUAUUAGUUAUAAAUUGGCUAAUUAGUUAUAUAUAUAUUCAUUAUAUGAUAACUAGGCUCGUGCGUGUGUACAAGUCNUAUAUAUAUAUAUGUUCAUCAUAUGAUAACUAGGCUCGUGCGUGUGUACAAGUCUCCAUUUGUCACCUAGCACCGUAUCCGACACUUCAAUCCAAUCCACUCACUGCAAGUGAGUUCAUACCCCUUUAACUAACCUUUGAAAUACUUUUAAAAGUUUUAAAUGCUUUAAUGGGGGGAUACAAGAUGAAUACUUAUAGUUAUUACAUCAAUCACAUGUGAUUAAUAACUACAAAACUAAUGAUUUUCUUGCUGUUCAAACUGUUUUGCUUCAAGCUGUUUUACAAAUUCUUAUACUUACCAAAUACAUUUACUUAAGGUUUGUUAUACUUUUAUCAAUUGCAUGUCAAUGUAUGUAUAUUUAUAUAAGCAAUGUUUAAAAGGCUUAGGAAGGCCUUCCCGCCUUAUUUCCUUUUUGCCGUUGAGAUGUGGUCUGGUGGGGUAUCGGGUAUCCGUCCGAAGGUCGUUUAAAUAUUAGUUAUAUAUCAUGUGUACAUAUAUAGUCAUAAAAGUUCUCCCAUAUUCAUACGUACCGGUUACAUCAUUAGUAAGUUACGAUAGGGGUAGCACAGGAUAAUACUAAUACUAUUGCUAGAACAAUGAAAUAUACAAUGAGUCAGUUCAUUCAUGAGUCAUAUAUGUUACAUUACUAUGAGAACAUAUACAACUAUGCUAGAAGAAGAACAUAUACANCAUUACUAUGAGAACAUAUACAACCAUACUAGAAGAAGAACAUAUACAACUAUACUAGAAGAAUAACAUAUACAAAUAUACUAGGAAGAGAACAAAAACAACGAUACUAGAACGAGUAACAAUACAUUACAUAUACAUGAAUACAUUAACAUAAAUGUGAUCCACUGUAUCGGAGCAUGCCUUCAAUGUCAUGGCCCGAGUUGUAGCCAGAGUCUCUUGGAGGGAGAGUGUGAGUUUGCGUAUAGAUCUAUACUGGAUUGACUAUCCUACACCUUGCUGCUAGCUACAACCGGACCUGCAGGUCUGCGGGUGCUAAACGUCAUACCUUUUUACGACUUACAUUAUCGUGUUUCAUAGUCGAUAGUAUGCUACAAUUAAUCACAUAAUACCUUGAUAUAAAUCUGGUUUAAGGUAGUUAGUACAGAAGUAGUUCCUAUAAUACAACACUACAGUACUACAUUAAUUUACCAUUUACAUAUAUUUACUGAUCAUUUCACUUAAACAUUAAUGUACAAACUAUAUUUUGAUAAUGAUAGUUACACUUGGGAAAAUUACACACUUUUACAAUAAACGAACAUUCAAAGCAGUUAUGCCUUGGUAGAAGGCUACUUUUAGUAGAAAAUAUAGGAUUUUCUAGGAGGUUCAAACUUUUACGAACACUUACAAACAUUCAUAUACUUUUAUUAGAAUUGUUUACAAACUCAUACUUCAAAAUCGUGUUCAAACAUUUUGAUACAAACACCGACACUAAAAUACUUAUGAACUCACCAGCUUUAAUGCUGAUAAACUCUUUCAAAAUAACUUGUAUUCUCAGGUCAUCAGUAGACAGGUACCGAGGCCAGCUUUUGAGAAGAUGGAGCGCAUCCAAGACUCAUCUUAUUAUUUUGAUUUACAUUUUUGGUGUCUAUAACUAUACAGAACACGCUUGUAUUAAAACUAUAUAUUUAAUGCAAUUGAUGAUGUUGUUUGCUUGUUUACUGUUAUACUGUGUUGUGAUACUUUACAUGACGUCCUCCGCCCCAGAACGUUUCCGCCGUUCUCAGUUUUGGGGUGUGACAUAAUGCUUCCAACUUUACUUUAUCUAGAGGUAUUGUUCCUGUUGGCUUCAUAGUCGGCCAAUGUGUUAGUCACGUGUAGUUCAAUCAUUAAUUCAUUUGAAGUUAUGUGUAGUAGUGGUAUCGAUGUUAGAUAACCGCUCGUGGACCUCUUAGGAGGCAUUGUUUUUUCAUGCAUAUGAGUCAUGCAAAAAUAUUGUUGUAAGUGCAAACGAUAUUAUUCCAAUCGUAACAAAUGCAUUAAUUUGCAAUGGAUUCAUUCAUGAAUGGCACUAUGUUGGAUAUUAUGUGUAGGUGACUGCACCCAAAAGGGUGUUAUUCAACCAGAAGAAUGAGUAAAAAGGAAACUAUAAAGUAAUGGGACAAAAGUGCAAAUUCAUGAAGAAUAUGCUUCCAUAUAAAUUUGACCACUACUCGAUGUUUUGAUCAUAUAUCAUGUUCUGGAGUUAUAAUUAACAUGAAUUAAGAUGUUUUGGAAACUAGAUAAAAUUUCAUAAAAUUUUCUUGUUUUGCGUUUUCACUGAUUAAGCUGUUUUCGCCUUCAAAAGGGUUACGAGAGAUGAAGGGAAAGUGUAAGUGUCGUUCUUUUGAACAUGGAUGGUUCAAACAUAAGUUGGAUGGUUCAAAUCGGGAAAAAUAGAUUGAUUGAAUACCUAAGCCGUAAUUCAUACUAAUCUGCAAGUAGUUAUUCAUAGAUAUGUAAUAGAAACAUACAUAUAGUAUCAUCGUCGAGUAAUUAGCAUUCUGCAAUAAAAUCAUACAUGAAUGAUGUUUAUGAGUACUAGAGUUGCUGGGUUUUAGUUCAAAAAAAGUUUAAAAACUACAAAAUAUGGCAAAUGGAAGACUUUAUUUUUCGAGAUAACAUAAACAUUUUAUACCCAUCAAGGAUCAUCUUGAAAGUUACUGAAAGAUUUAAACAACAACCAAAGAAAAAGUGACGAAAUAACAACAUUUGUUGUUCUUUGGGUCCUCUUGGGAGACUUGGAAGUUGAUGAAAAUUGAGAAUUUUUGAGUCACCAACAAGUUGUCAACUUGAUUUAGAUGCUAGUCCAUAACUCUUAAUCUUGAAGUUCAUAACCAGUAUUAACUUCAAGAGAGCAAAAGAUAAGCAAGUAUUUCUUCAUGCAAAAGCAAAACUAGAGAGAAUGAGAUAGGAGGUGAUGGAUUCGGCCAUCAUGCAAGAGUAAGGGAAAAAAGAGCAAAUCCUUUCCUAUAAAGCUUAAUCUUUAUCAAAAGGACUUAACACUUUUAAGUCAAUCAUGCACCUAAGACCAAAUUGCCCCCCCCCCCCCCCCCCCCCCCNUUUAAGCCAUGCAUUCUUUUCAUUAUUAUAUGUAAAAUCCCGUAACUUGUUCUCUAAAGAACAAGCCAUGUUUUAUAAUAAAAAGACGUCAAAGGUUUGUAAAAUUUUAUAAACUCUUUUAUAAAAUAUAAACCUUAACCUUUUGGUAGAAGACAAAAAGUCCUAAUGGUCCAUAAUCUUGUACAUGACUUAAUAAUUCAUACCAUAUGAAUUAUGUAAUGUUACUUGCUAAUGAAAAUUAUUAUUUACAUGAAAUAAAUAAUUUUCAAUUUAAAUAAUAAAAAGACGUCAAAGGUUUGUAAAAUUUUAUAAACUCUUUUAUAAAAUAUAAACCUUAACCUUUUGGUAGAAGACAAAAAGUCCUAAUGGUCCAUAAUCUUGUACAUGACUUAAUAAUUCAUACCAUAUGAAUUAUGUAAUGUUACUUGCUAAUGAAAAUUAUUAUUUACAUGAAAUAAAUAAUUUUCAAUUUAAUUAUAAGAGUUUAUUGAAGAUUUAUUAAAAUUAAUUGCUAAUAAAUAAUCAAUUAUAUCAGGUUGCUGUUAGUGUGACCCAUUAGUAUCAUAUGUUAAUUAACAAUAUCACUUUAAUAGGAUUCUUGAGCAUACUAGAUCUUUCAAGAGUUUCACGAGGAUUCAAAGUAAAUAAUUACCAGAUAUUUAUAAGGCUUUAACAAAAUUUUCAAGAGUUCCCAAGUGUUUUCCUUUGCGUCUUGAACAGUGAUCUUCCUCGAGUUUUCUAGAAUUUCGAAGCGUUUUAGUCUAUCAACUACCGAGGCCAAGUUCUUUUUGUGCAUCGGUCUAACCACUAUUAAAUAUAGGUGAUCAUUAUAUGUUUAGUUUUGGUUAGGCACAUGUACAACAAACUUAACUAAGGUGUUUGACCUAAUACCUUCCAUUGUAUUCUUAUUUGAGGCUUCGAGUAUUUCUAUAUAUAACUUUAUAUUUAUCAUUUAAUAAAUAUACCUAACCUAUGAGAGUAAGCCCUAGGCUAUAGUUGUUAUUUCCUAAGAAAGUACUAGUUUGUUGUAGCCAAUGGGCUAUGAUACAAAUCUAUCACAUCCCUAGCCGUUGGCCGAAACGAUGUGGUGCGCGACGUAAAUCAGUGAUCAUCGUCAUUGAACAUACAUUGAACAAUAGAAAAAUACAAACUUCUAUUAUUACCCAAAUAGAAAUUACAUUGUUGAUGGAUAAGACAACAUCACAAAAAACACCUAAUAAUUUUCCGUUUUACAAAGGAAUAGUGAAAUGACAGAAAGUAUUCUAUGGAAACUCUUCCUGCAUGUUGAUAAUCCUGAGAAUACAUGCAUUAGAUACAUCAACAAAAGAUGGUUGUUGAGUUCUAUAGGUUUUGAAACAAUGUAUCUUUAUAAUCAAAAAUAUUUUAUAAGAGUUUAUCUGGUUGAGUAUAUAUAUAAGUGUACUUUCUAACGAAAGUGUAAAACAAAACGAGUUUUAAAAGUGUUUUUGGAUUCUUAUAGAAAUACUGCUUCUUCAAAUCCAAAAGAACUAAACUUAAAUAAUAUGUAAGUAUUGAUGGGUUUCGAGCAAUACAUCAUUCCUAUAGUGUACAUGCAAACCCUAAUAGCUUUGGAUCUAGUUUUUCUAAUGAACAUGCAAUUGAUUAUCCAAAGCCAUAAACCCUAGAUCUAGAAAACUAUUAAUCAUAUUAACAUAAAAUAGGGUUUAGAUCUAACCUUUGAUUGUUAUAUAGCAAUAACAAUCAAUCCUUGGCUUUAGAAAGCUUAGUGCCUCAAGUGCUGCACCUCUAAUGGAGUCACAAACACCACUAUGCAACUUGGAUGAAGAGGGAGGAGAGAGGAGGCACCAAAAACGGCUGAAAACCCUAAUCCAAGUGUUAGCCACGUUUUUGGGUCUCAAGUGUUCUUUAAAUAGGUAGGCAAUUAGGGUUAUCUAACAAGGAAACCCUAAUUUGACUGCUUAAGCCCUAAGCAGCCCAUGGACCCCUUCUGGAACAUGCCUUGGACAAUUUCUAAUGGGCUUCCCCAUAGAAUUCGUCCAACCUAUUAUUCCAAGGUGAUCCAUAACCCAACUGCAAUUAUCUUAUAAUUAUAAUUCCAAUUCCCCUAAGUUUAAUUAAUCUCUUUUUGCCACAAAAUUAAUUCUUUAUUAAUUCUUGACUAAUAUUAAUUAAACAAUAUGAUUUCUCCUUUAAUAUAUUAUUCUCAUAAUAUAUUUAUAAAUCAUAAUUAAACCUUUCUCUCCUUAAUUCAUCCUACUUAUUGCUAUGGUGAAGGCAACCCAAAAUGACACUAAUCCAACAGUCUUCCACUUGGAUAAGUCUAAUAACUAUUUUGUAUAACUUAAGAACCUCAUUAGCAAUUGUAGCUUUCAAAAGCCGCUGUCAACUCUGAUCUUAUUGGAUAUGAGUGUCCUUUAGAUAAGGGAUCAUAUAUUCCUCCAUUCUCAAGAUAUCGUAUAGACAUAAGACAUGAAUUUUAAUCAUUCUCUCUAUACUGUUUCCCGACUUCCGAUUUAUGACAACUGACAACAGACUACAACUGAACACGUCAACUUAGUCUCGGCUUGGCCAAGCGCUUAGGUGUCAUCACUAAAUCAUCAAGGGGCCCACAAAUAUCGCUUUUAUCCCACUUUGGGCAAAAGGAAUGGAUAAACUUCGACUCGUAUGCUUUCUUGCAUUCACCGAUCGAAUCACACACAACAAUAAGUUUUUUAACACCAAGUUAUUAGUGCAUUUACUUAUUAUCAAUGUGCAAUCGACCAACAAAUAACAACUCACACGUCUCAGUUUCAAGAAUAUACAAUAUUAUCGUCUCACUAAUCACCCGUGAUAAAUCCAUGAAGUUAUCCAAGUGAGCGUGGGUUUAAUCCAAUACUCUAAUCUUAUCAAAGCACUCAUGAACCCUGCAACAAACUUGUGCUAUGUCUAGACUCUUCAGACAAUCUACAGACUCUUCAGGAUAGACUUCCUUCAUACUUACUUCCAACGUAUGAUCGACUGUAGAGGUUCGAAUAACCCAGUUAUUCUGGAAGUCAAAAGAGGCAAACUGAAACACAACAAUAAUACUUAAUCCUAUAUGGCCCCAAACUUGUGGGAGUAAAUAAAAUUCUUUUGUUUAAACACUAUAUUGAUUACUCAUUAUUCAAUGUUUACUGUUUCAGAAAAUCAACUUAUUACUCAGAUUACAACAAUAGUUGUCCCAUGCACAAAGCAUGCACACUAUGUUUCUUAUGGUCCUUACUUUGUGAAAUAGAUCAAUUGAAAAACUUUUCCAAUGAUGCUCAUUUCACAAUUCCCAAUCCUUAUUAUUAGUGUUAGUACACAAGGUUCUUGCCACUACUAGAAUAUGCUAGAUUCUAACAUUUUAUGCAACGAUCCUUUCGCAAAGUCAUAGCACAAAAGUCACCAAGACUUGGCCAAUGAAAUACAAAGUACUCUAUCAGAAAUUGUUACAAGACAGUUCCAUAGAUGUGAAGUCUCACAUUCAAAGUACAUUCCUUUGAACAUCCUUCUUGCAUAAAAUUUUCUAAUCUAGACAUAAACUCUCAAUAUCCAACUCCCAGUAUGGAAACAUUUCCAUAUUUUCCAUAUAACAACUCAUUCUUAAUAGAAUCUUAUCUAUUCAUAAUAAUGUCGAUAUGUUCCAUCCAAUACCAUACUUCCAACUACUCAUAAGCGACCAAUCCUUAGCGAACUUUGGAUCGUCCUUUGAUAGUUGUUUAAUUAUUUUAGUCAAAACUGAUUCUAGUCCUUUUUCCCUCUUAAUGCGCUAGACAUUUGGAAAAUUUUAGAAUGGUUAAAUAUUAUAGCAUUUGCAAUCGAUCCUAUACCCGAAGCAUAUGGGACACGAUGCAUAAUUUCUUACAUAAAGACGUGAUACUUUACCACUCUUUUGCUAUAAUAUUUCUAAUUUCCAUGUUCUCACAAUUUUGAUUAUGAAAAGGGAUGCAGUAAUCAUAAUCAAAUUUUGAGAAUGCAAUUAUCCUUUCCAUAUAUAGAAUUUCCUCAUGCUGAACCAUUCCAACACAACAUUAAUNNNNNNNNNNNNNNNNNNNNNNNNNNNNNNNNNNNNNNNNNNNNNNUAUAUAUAUAUAUAUAUAUAUAUAUGACUAAAUUUGAUUAAAAUUCCACAAUCUAAGCCUUUAGAUUAUAAAUGAAGUAUAAUAUUCUCUCCCUUAAUUAUAGCAAAACAACUUUUCAACCCUUGCGACUUUGCAAAGUAUAACUCUUGUUUUCUAUAAUAUUGCUAACUUGCAACACUUACCAUAAUAAUCAUACAUACAUAACACUUAUGCUCCCACUAUCAUGAUGAUUAUUAUCAUAUAAGCAUAACACUUAUGCUCCCACUAGCUUUGACAUGUAUUCAGAAAACAGCCGAACUUCUAGAAAACAAUGCCUAUUGAAUUUCUGAAGUUCAUAUUUCUAAUACCAGAUGCUUCGAUAAACCUUUAUCUAAGCUUCUUAAACUUAUACACCUUUGCCUUAGAUAGAUUAUAUGUGUGUCUAAACAAUUCAGAACUUAUAUCAAUAAGUCCCAAAUGUUAGACUAAUUGCCAAAUCUCACAAUUCGACCAAUGGAAAUGGAUGUCGUAACCAUAAUCGAAUUUAAGAAUACAAUUUUCGCAAUUGCUAUCUUCUUAAAAUCUCUCUUAGUGAAAGCAUUUCCUCACAGUCAUUUUCAUGAAGGAGGAAUCUAAUGACACUUAGAUUUUAUGGUGUAUGAGUUCCUAUCCAUGUGAAUUUGCCAAAACCAAGUUUGCGACAAAUGCAAACUCAUAUGGAUUGAACUUUCUUGAUUUCUGGAUUUAUGGUAACACGAGUGCCCACCAUGUCUUCCAAAGCAAUUUAGCAACUUAUCCUUACAUAUCAAUGUACUUUCCAUCAAUCAAGGCGCUUUAUCUUUAUGCAUUCAAAUGAGAACUCCUAGAACUCACAUACAUAAUUAAGUCAAUUGGAAUGGCACAAGAAGAAAAUAAUGUCAACACGAUAGGUUGAAAACCUCAAGUCGUAUGCUAGUGAUGAUUGAUAAGGUUUAUUCUUGAUUUGUUCUUGAAACAUUUUUCAAGAUCAUUGCAACUCCCACUGACCUCUUGACACAUACAAUUCUAUUGUUAGGAAACAUUCCUAGACAAAAAAAAUAUAUUCAAGAGUUAGUGUAGUUCUUGUCUAGACAAAACACUUCACAUAAUUGGUUGUAGUUGGUCUUUGUCUCAUCCAAGACAGCACAACUUACCAAUUUCAAAUGUGCAAGAAUAAGAAAACUUUUCCAAAUUCUACAUUUGUUGAGUGUUAUAAACCUACUAAAUACAUGUCACUCAAUUUGCAAUCUUGGAGUAUGACUCCAAGAUUCGAUAUUGGAAUGAAGUAUGAUUGACUUCUUGAUUUAACCAUUUCCACAAUUCCUGAUUCCUCUUCUUAGACAUACUAAAGUACUAAGACUCACUUAGAGGACCAAUUGAGAUAUGGUUCUUAAUCAUUAAGACUUUAUCAUAAAACACAAUAAAAGCUACUCUCCCUUCUUCUUAGAAUAGAGAAACUUUUAUCUUUCUGCCUACUUGAUCCUUCUUUAUUCGUUCUGCUAUUCAUUGAAAAUCCUUCAAUCAACUCAGAGUUACACUUAUUCUUAUAAGUAUAAUCAUAUUUACUAAACUUUAGUAAAUCAUGACGAAUAUCUUUAUCACUCUUGUGGUGGACUUGAUUGAUGCACAACAUUGCGAACUCAAUCUCCUAGUCCUUUACUUGACUCUUUGUCAAUGAAUUAGCCUUGAAUUUCCAAUUAUAAAGUUUCUCAUCCAUCACACAACCAAGUUGUAUGAUUCCAAGUUUUUGUCCAAUUGAAACUUGGGCGAUGAGAAACUCUCCCUAUUUGGAAAAUUCUCGACAUUUCCACAAAUAUCAUAAUUAAGAAGAAAAUCCAUUAUUGCAAAUAAUAGAAACCUUCAAACAUUAAUUUUUCAUACAUGCCAUUGCAAGGAUAAAUAAAUUAGAUAAAAUCAAAAUUUCUUUUAUUGCGGGAAAAAUUUGUCCUUACAAUGCAAUUUAAUUGAAAACUAUGUUAUUACAUAUUUCUUAGCAAUCUAUUCUAACUCCAAGUAGUAGCUUAAGAAUCCAAUCUUCAAGCAAUGCGAUCGAAAUCCAUUUCUUCACGAUUAGAUUCAGCUCACUUCUUCCCUUAAGCUUCCUCUCUUUUCUUAGAUCCAACAAAACAUCAAAAUGUAAUCUUAUCACAUCAUGUAUUAAGAAUCUAGAAUAGGAACUUAAAAGAGUUUGUUAAUGGAUUUUACCUGAAGUAGAGCCAUACAUCUUGACUCUCCCAUCUCUUAGAUCUCUCAGGUAAAUAGGAUAGCUUCGUCUCUAAUGCCCCUUCUCUUGGCAAUAAAAGCAAAUGAACUCUUUUGGAAUGGCACAAGGAACUAUCUCAGAAUUUACCUUUUCUGGAUCUCCAAUGUUACCAUUUUCAAUGUCCAUUGAAGUUUGGGAGUUUCAUUCACCAGACAAAUUUGCUUGACCAGCAUGCCAAAUCAUUGCUGAUUCAGCAGCUAUAAGCAAAUAGGUGAGAUCAAUGAGGGUCACGUCGUGAUCCAUCACAUAGUACCCUUUAAUGAAAUCACUAUAUGAUUCAAGAAGUGACUGAAGAACCCAGUCAACAGCCAACUCCUUGGGGAUGACAACACCAAGCAUACCCAACCUGUCAAUGUGGGACUUCAUCUCUAAGACGUGUGCACACACAGACUUUCCAUCUUCGUGCUUAAUUGCCAACAGGGCUUGAGUGAGCUUGAACUUUUCAAGCCUUCGAACUUGUGGGUUAGGGAGAACAAUAGGAGGAGGUGGAGGAAGCAUGAUUUCUUGUUCCUCGAUCAUAUCAUGGAAUAUCAUCUUCGUUUGGAAAACUUGUUCCAAGGGAUUUAGGAAAACCAUAGUUGUUUGACAUCUACAAAACGGGAGAAAAUUCAAGUUAAGUUGAUUGAGUCCUUAAUAAAACACCCAAAUGAAUUAUUAAGUCUAGUAUCCAACACAAUACUCUACAACCUAGAAGAGGGAUGUCGUAAUCUAGUUGCAGAAUAGUUGAAGGUAGGUAAAUGAUGAUUUACCAAUUACCACCAUGAAAAACGAAAAUGAAGUUUAAGUUUUAAAUGAAUUGAAACUCCUAGAUCUUUUGAGAUUCAUUGAACUUUUCAAUGGCAUGUUUAAUCUCGAUUAUGCCCUUCAAAUUUGCGACUGGGAUGCCGAGGAUCACAAACAAGGUGUGAAUAACCAUACGAAUCUACGUGGUGCACUCAAUGCUACUAUCACCUAAUCAAUGUGCCGGUUAGCCACACACGCUCCAUUGAUCUAUGACAAACAUCGAGUCACCCUCCGCUACUAAUACAAAACCCAAAUUAGUGUGUCGGUUAACCACACACGCUCCACUAACGUCUCGGCAAGGGUGCAAAGUGUCAUAACAUGGAUUAGCAUACAAUUUUACAUUUUGCCUAAAGUAACUAUGAUUUGGGAAUUUGAAAAAUAUUUAGUUACUUUGUACUUCAUUAUACUUAUAAUGGAAGGUUUCGUCCUAUCCUACCCGUUCGACUAACGACCCUCCACUAGUCAAGAGUGCGGUGUGUAAGAGUGGAUACCCAUUCAAUCGCCAUUUUAUAGGCAAUUUCAUUAAACACCCCUUAUAGACUAGCUUCGUGAAUGAGGCCUACUAACGGUAAGACUGACUUUUUAUUCAUACAUAUAUAUAAUAUUAGACUUUUAAUGUUAUAUAUAGUAUAGGGUGUAUUUUACACUUUUUAAAAUACUAGGUGGCCAAAUUUAAUAAAUUAUACUUUUAAUUUAAUUAAAUGUAAACCAAAACAUUAUGGGUUUAUUAAAUCGCUUUUAAUUAUACACCUUAAUUAAUUAAUAAAACCAUAACGGUGUAAUUUGAACUUUUCAAAAUACUUGGGUCUUAGAAUUUAAAAUUUUCAAAUAAAGACUUUUAGUUAGAUUUUAAAAUGCAAAACUUGAGGGAAAGUUUUGAAACUUUUCAAAACAUUAGGGUUUAACUUAUUUAAAUUUCAAAAACAUAAUUUUUAAGUUCAAAUUUAAACUACAAAACUUAAAGGGUGUAAAUUGAAACUUUUUCAAAAUUACUAUGUCAAAUAUUUGUCAAAUAAUAAUCCUAUAUUAUCCAUAUUUAACCAAAUCCAUCAAUUUUGACAAGGAUAAACAUUCCAAACAUAAAAAAUCGAUUUUAGGCAAUAAAAACGAGUUUCGGUAAUUAUCCCCAUCAAAAUAUGGCCAGAAAAUCGAAAAUCCCGGCAACAGAACAGGUAACUCGUCGAGUCCUCUUUGGAACUCGUCGAGUUCAUGCUACUCGUCGAGUUCUUAGAGCAACUCGGCGAGUUCAUCAAACAGUCAGCCAAAAAAUUCGAUUUUCACAUCAAACAAGCAUCAAAUUCACUAACAACCAGCCCAAGGCUCUGAGACCAUUGAUGAGUUUCGAGCAAUACAUCAUUCAUAUGGUGUACAUGCAAACCCUAAUAGCUUUGGAUCUAGUUUGUCUAAUGAUCAUGCAAUUGAUUAUCUAAAGCCAUAAACCGUAGAUCUAGCAAACAAUUAAUCAUAUUAACAUAAAAUAGGGUUUAGAUCUAACCUUUCAUUGUUAUAUAUCAAUAACAAUCAAUCCUUGGCUUUAGAAAGCUUAGUGUCUCAAGUGCGGCACCUCUAAUGGAGUCAUAAACACCACUAAGCAACUUGGAUGAAGAAGCAGGAGAGAGGAGGCACCAAAAACGGCUGAAAACCCUAAUCCAAGUGUUAGCCACAUUUUUGGGUCUCAAGGGUUCUUUAAAUAGGUAGGCAAUUAGGGUUAUCUAAUAAGGAAACCCUAAUUUGACGUCUUAAGCCCUAAGCAGCCCAUGGACCCCUUCUGGAACAUGCCUUGGACGAUUUCUAAUGCGCUUCCCCAUAGAAUUCGUCCAACCUAUUAUUCCAACGUGAUCCAUAGCCCAAUUGCAAUUAUCUUCUAAUUACAAUUCCAAUUCCCCUAAGUUUAAUUAAUCUCUUUUUGCCACAAAAUUAGUUCUUUAUUAAUUCUUGACUAAUAUUAAUUAAACAAUAUGAUUUCUCCUUUAAUAUAUUAUUCUCAUAAUAUAUUCAUAAAUCAUAAUUAAACCAUUCUCUCCUUAAUUCAUUAUACAUAUUGCUAUGGUGAAGGCAACCCAAAAGGACAAUGCUCAUAAUCGGGUCAAGUACAUACCAAAAUAGUUAUGGACUUAGACACUUAUCAAACAAGUAUUGCAAACUUAUAUCAAUUAUUACAUUUUCUAUGACCGAAAUUGUAUCUUUUAUAAAGUUUUUGAAUAAAAAGUUACAUAAAAUAAAGUCAUGUUAUAUUUUUAAAAGUAUAUAGAAAAGAAAAUACCAACUUCACCCUCGUAAUUACGUAUAAGUGAUUGUAUUUUUAUUCAUAUAACUUAUUAAUUACAAGUUUAUAAAUGUUGUAUGAUCGUGUCGUAGUAUUUAUUUAGUGUCAUCUUACUUAAUAUGGAAUUUGACACUCUAUCAGUAGAGCAAAAUUCUCCUACUACUUACUAUAUAAAUUCCAACCGGUAAGAGUGAACAAUCCUCGUAUGAAUUCUAUUCCAAUUUAAUACGACAACAAGCAAACUCAAGGGUCUAUAAUGAGCUCAUAAUCAAACUAUGACACAUCAACUCUACACCAGAACUAAAAAGGAGCAUGCUGAAAUUCCACACCGACAUUUUAUCAACAUCGUGGAAUAAGAGAGACGAAAUGUUAGCACCCAAUUCUACCCGUCGUAUAAAUCUAAGCAAUUGAUCUAAUAAAUGUCGCUCCCCAUUCCAUACAGAUUAACAGUUAUAAAGCAGAGGAUUUUUACUAAGAUUUGUUGUAACAACUGGUAAAAAUUGGUCAGAGUCCUGUGGUCAAACCACCGCGAACCAUUAUGCAAUAAAGACCAAUUGCGUGGAAUUUUUAUGUUUAUAAAAUGUAUUAAAUAGCAUAUAUUCAUAAUUACUUUGGGAACUUCUCAAACUGCUCAAAACAUUUAUCAUUGAGAAUCAAAUUGAAAAUCACUCAAAGUUUAAUUUAUUUGUGGCGUUAAAAAUGAAUUUUUGAAACAAAUCUACUUGAGAGACAUGGAUAAGAUAUUUGAAUAGGUUAUGUUCUCAUGAUUUCCUGGAUAUAAAGAAUGAUCAAAACGAAGCUCGUAUAAGAAUGUUACGACUCUUUAAAGUUAUAAAAAUCAGUAUUUAUUUGAUUUACAACUAUGACAUUGUCUUUUGAUGCUUUGAGUGAAGCAUAAUUGAAACUAAACAUUCAACAAUACAACUAUAGCAUCUAUAUUUAUAUUUUCAUUACCACAUCACUCAAUAAUACAUAAAAUACAUGCUUAUACAUAUACAAAACUACAUGUUUUUUUUACAUACACAAAUACAUGAUUAUACAUAUACAAAUACAUAUAAUAUAUACAUCAAUACAUAGAAUGAUUGAAGCAUUACAUUACUUCUAAAUCUAUCUAAGAGUACAACCAAUAAAUGAAAUUGACAAUUAUGUUUCUUCUACUCUUCAGCUUAUCCAAGGCUACACACAAUUGAAAACCCUUAAUCUUUGUUUUAUUAUUGUUUCUUUUCUCCAAUUGUGGCUGUCCAAAACCAAAAACCAAAGAGUCAGCAACCUUUUCUUCCAUAAAACCAAAGAGUCAACAACCUUUUCUUCCAUCUUCUUCUUUCUUUCUUAUUUGAUUGUGGCUGCCAAGAAACAACAUGAGGCCAUCAACCUCUUCUUUUGGUUCUUUUCUUACUCAUUCCCUGAUAAUCAAAACAAAGCCCAUAUAUCCAAUCUUUAAUUAGUUCCUAUCUAAACAAUCAAAGAAGAAGAAGUUUUGCUGUUCUUGUGUCUUAUCUGAUUAAUUGAAACAAACCUCAAACACCCACCUGCUUCAGAUUCGUUCACCCCUCGAUGGUGAAAUGCUUACUACCGGAUCGGAGACAAGAGCAACAAAGGGAAACUGCCGGAACAGCCUCCCUCUCACCACCACAGAUAACAGCAAAAGUCGUUGUUGCCUCCUUAUUACCUUCGCAAAUCGCCGCCGAAGAGCCGACUCUUGCCCUUAUUCUUUCUUCAAUCCGAUUGAGCACCAGCGGUACUCCCUCCGAUCGGCGAUAGUCGCCGCCUCCACUCCCUGGUUCCAUUCGCAGAUCGUCACCGGAGAUCCCUUCUCCCUUCGGUUCCUCGACGCCGAUGAUGAGAAAUAACCUUGAGAAGGUUCGCUAGAGAUUGGCUACUCAUCCCCCUUGCUAGACAGAUGAACCACCGAACCACCCUCCCUUGAUUGUUGUUUCGAUUUCUCGUCCUUCCCUCGCGUCUUGUAACUUUUGGACUUUUAAAGCUAAAUCACACUCAAAAGUCAAGAAAGUGUGACUUUUUGUAACUUUUGGACUUUUAAAGCUAAAUCACACUCAAAAGUCAAAAAAUACUACCCAAACACUUUUUAAAACCCACUUUUGGCUUUUGUUUCCUCAAAAGAACUUUUACAAAAAGAUCUUUUACUAAAAGUUCUUUUAGACUUAAAAAGUUUUCCCAAACACCCCCUAAUGGAAACGAGGGCACCAAAAUAAAACCAUGAUCCCUUUUAUUAGUUUGAUGGAUUUGGCAGAACUAACCCUCCUGGUGUAUCUUUUAAUCCCAAACAAAUCCAUUUUCAUAGAUAGAUCCAAAAUGGUCAAUGUUGGUUAAUUUAAGUUACUAAACAACCCUCCACUUGUCGAGUUAUUGCCAAAACAGUCCCACCAGCCUUGUGAUUAAUCUGAAACAGCCCUACACUUUUCAAGUAAUACCGAAACUGCCCCUUUUGUUAGUUAAGUGAUAAAAAUAGUUAUGGUGGUUUGUUUUAAACUCAAAAAGUGUCAAGAUGCGGUUUGUCACGACAAGCUUCAUGAAGCGAGCCUAGAUCGAGAUCACGCAUCGAAUGUGAGUUUUUACGACCCCUCUUUUACAUUUUUAAUUUUGGGGGAGAAUACAUGAGUGUCUAUUUAAAGCUUUGAAGAUUUUCAAGUUUUAUACAUAAAAUAACAUUAUACUUUAUUAUUGGUUAAGAUUUUAUGAAAAUAACAAUCUAAAAGGUUUAAAGCAUUAAUAAAUUAUAUAAGUAUUAGUAGAAUGCUAUAAAUGAUAUAAUUAUACCUUGUUGUGAUAUAUUAAUUAAUAUUAAGAAAAAUCACAAGAUUUUAAGUAUUUUGAUACGAAAAUAUAAGUUAUUUGACGAAUCAUAAACUAUAAUACUUGUCGUAUACAGGAAAAAUAUUGAGAAAUCCUAAUAAAACAUUAUAUACACAACAAUAUAUGUUAUUCGAUAUAAUCAUGUACAAAGUAAAGGUACAUUUUCUUAAAAGACUAUAAAUGAAGAUUUGACAAAUAUAUAAUAAUUAAUUGAAACUAUACCAAAAAUAAAUUAUUAUGAUCAUACUCCCAAUCAUAAUGUGGAAAUGAUUACUAGGUAAACAAUAUAAUUUAUCUUUAUAAUUAUUAUAAAAAUAUAAAUCAUUCAGUUGUGAUCCGAAGCUCAUCACAUAUGAUAAUAUAAUUAAUUCUCAGAUUUUUGGGGAUUAUUACCUAUUAAAUUAUAUAUCAUAUAAAUUAUGCAACUUAUCGAACAUCGACAUAAGUGAGUAUUCGGCUACGCGAACGAAUAUCCUCCUUAUCGGCUGAAGUAAGGAACUACUCAAAUUAUUGUCGCCACAAUAGUCGAACGCUACGUUCAUUUCACUAUUUAACUAAUUUCACUAAGCUUCGAAAAUCUUAAUAAUCUAAGAUUCGCGUUAGUGACCCUAGUGAACGACGAAUUUUAUGAGUUGAAGAACUAUCAUCAUGGAUUUUGUGGAUUGUGUAUCUCGUGUGUGUUUGUGGGGGGAAUGUAUCAAAAGGGGUGAAAGAGAUAGUUUUAUGAUGGUGUAUUUUUCAUUUGUAGGGAUCAAAUCCUGGAAUCGACACCUAGCUCUAUAACCGUUAAUCCAGGAGGAAUCAUAUACCGUAGGUCUAUGUACACGGCAUAGAUUUAUAAUAAAUAUAUUUCUUAUGGAAAGAUUUAUGUGAAUGGUUAUUUUCCGUCUGUGGUUGCUAGCUACAACUUCGUCUGACGAGGCAACAUGCGUCAAGUGUUUCUUUCUUCGUUACUAUACGACUGCUUUUAAACGUUAGUAAUGAUCUCGAUUCCUCCAUUUUUAUUUAUAUUGUGCCUAUGUGGCUUGUUUAUUGUGCCUAUGUGGCUUGUGGAGGAGCGACGAAUAAUGUCGGUUAUGGGAUAUAUUGAAGAUUUUUAUUCGAAGAUGUAUAGAUCUAGAUUGAGUCAAUUCUCCUAAUUUGGUCCGAGUGUGUAAGAGUGUUUAGACUGUUAACUACCUCUCCCUACGACAUAAUUCUCCAUAAGCAGAGACGUUUUAAAGAAUAGAAUUGUAAAAAGAAUGGUUAAUAUUUGUCGUUGAAAUUAUACGAGUGGUAAAAAUAUGUGUUUAUAAUUUACAGGUUAUUGAAAAGUAUUUUGGGAUGAGUUUGCCCCACUGGUUAAGUGUCGAUUUCCAAAUUAAGUAAGAUAAUGCUUAAUUAAUAAUACGACACGGAUUUACAAAGUUUAUAAAAUUUGAAACUUAUGAGUUUUACAUAUAAACUAUACGAACGUUUGUACACAGUUUUAAGAGUAAAGUUUACUAUUUUAUGUUUACAUAAAGUGUGAUAUGACUUUAUUUAUAUAAAUUGGUUUUCAAAAUCUUUAUAUAAAGAGCAUUUCGGUCAUGAGAACCGUAAGAAUUUGUUAUAAGUUUGGUUUACUUAUAUAUUUUACAAAUGGUGUAUUUUUGGGUUUGAGCAAAUGACAUUUCUAAAUGAGUUUAAAUAUACUUUUAUGACUCAAUUAUUUUAUACUUUCGAUAGAAAAAUAUGUGUUUAUAAAAGCUGUUCAACCAGAUAAAUUUUAUAAAACAUUUUUGGGUGUAAAAAUACUCUGUUUCAAAACCUGUAGAACUCACCAACAAUUUUGUUGACGUAUCUUAAUGCAAGUAUUCUCAGGUUAUUUAUAAGGUCGGAAGAGUUUUUACAGAAGAUUCUCCGAUAUUCUUAUCAUACAAAUGUGAACGUCAGAUUGUUCGGCAUGUGUAGCGUUUCAACAUUCCAUUUCGGUAUUAUAUUUGUACUGUUCAAUAUAUGUUCAAUAACUGUGAUUACUGGUUUACGUUGCACACCUCGGCGUUUUUGCCAUCGGUCGAGGGUGUGACAUUUGUAGUCUUAGCUUAGAUAUAAACAUAACUCAUAUAGAUUACGAAAUGUACAUAGCUCAUAUAGGAAAAACUCGUGUACGUUCGAUCCAAACAAUGUGCGUAGGCAUCUUAGUCCAAAACUUUCAGUUAUAAGUUUAUCAAACUAUUAUAAUCGUUUAACGUUUAGGAAAAACGAUGGCUUAAGUAUUAGAUUUUCUAAAUUCUACAAGACUUGACAUUUCUGUAAAUUAACUUAAGUUUUGUGAAAUAAUUCGGACAUCAUGACGAUUGCGUUCCGAAUAAUUUCUAGGUUUUAAUAAAUGCGAAACCCACAAUCCCAAUAAAUAUACAAGUAUAUAAAGCAUUAAAAUAUAUCAAUCGAUAUAACAAUGUUCUUUCAUAACCUUUUGAUAUCUAUAAAUUUUAUCACGAUGGGAGAGCUUGUAAUAUGUGUAUAUGAUACUGCAUUUUUUUGUUAUUUCAACAAAAUAUAGAUAACUAUGGAUUUGUACUAAAACAUAUGCUUAAACCAAUCCACGUCGUUUUUAGGUACAUCAAUAUAUUUGUACAUUUUAAAAAGAUAUAUAAUUGAUCUUUUUCAUUCCAUAAUUUAACUCAAUUCAAUGGUGUUUAUUAAAAUAAAAUUAAAAGAAAAAUAUAAUUGGAUUUUUUUGUUUAUAUAUAUAUAUAUAUAUAUANUCACUUUACACUCAUAAUGUCUCCACCUUUGGGGUUUUUAGCCCUAAAAAGGGCACAUACAACAACAACCAAAAGAAGAGGAAAGUUUUGAACUUUAUACCUCCAAGUGUAGCCCUUUUCUCUGUAGAUCUCAGAUCCAAAAUGGCACCUUAGGGUUUAGCUUCCAAGAACUCCCUUCCUUUUUCUUCACCAAGGCACUAAAGCACCAAGAAGCUAAAAUCAAUACUCUCACACACUAAGGACGAUAGGGCUCUCUUUUAGGGUUUCACUCACUGAUAUGGAGGCUAAGGAAUGAGCCAUAACACCCUUUAAAUAGUGCACAAGGUGGAUUAGGGUUUUUGCACCUGGGCCGGGUACGCCCGGCAUAACUCUAGGUACGCUCAGCGUACCUUGGCGACUCCGCGUCCAAAUUAAGCACAUGAGUACGCACAGCAUACCCCUAUGGUACGCCCAGCGUACUCACUUGCUGCAAUCCCACCACUCAAGGACUAAACAUGGCCAAUCAAUAAAGAACAAGGAUGAAAGGAAUAUACCUGAAUCUCGGGUGUCAUAUUCAUAUAAUCUUCAUUUAGUCUUUUGAUAACUAGAUCAUAACAAAUGUCAAAAUCAAAGAAAAAAAAUUAAUAAAUUUUAUAUGUCAAUUAUUAAAUAUAAUGAAUAAUAUUAUAAUAAAAAAUUAUUUUCCUACAAAAAAAAUAUACGUNCUCUAUCUAUAUCUAUAUCUAUAUCUAUAUCUAUAUCUAUCUAUCUAUCUAUCUAUCUAUCUAUAUAUCUAUAUAUAUCAUAUAAAGCUAGUAUUUUUCCUUGAAUCUCAUGCAUUUGAAACUCCCAAGACCAUUCAACUUGUAUAAUCUAAUUUAGGAUUAAUUGAAAUGUUGUGAUUUGUAACUUCCAAAACUCUUCAAAUCAUGUUAUUUAACUGACGAGUUAAAUGAAAUAUGUAGCAUAUAUAAGAAGAUUAUAGCUUGCAUAUUGCAUGUAUGUCAACUUCAAAUGAUCGAUUAUAUUAGUAGAGUUUGAAGAUUUAUGUGAGUGGUUCUAUGAAUGUAAGAGAGCAAUUACAAAUUUUCCAAAUGUAAAUGAAAAUUUGGGGCAUGUAAAGUUUUAUAUGUUAACCAAGCUUCAAAUUUGGGUAUGUGUGUAAAAUUAUACUUGAGAAAAAAAAAAUUAUUUUAUGUGUUACGGAUCUUUUUAUAAUCACAAGAUGAUGAAUUGAGACUGAUAGCUAAUUCUCAUGAGCUUUUGGUAAAUCAACCUUAAAGUUAUUUAUUAGCUAGAGCAAUUAACUUUGUCAACAUGUAUGUAUAUUUAUGUCGUCUUUCUCUUUUAUGUUAAGACAAUCAAUUUUUCUUUCCAAGAGAACAUUAUUUAACAUGUAUUUUAAGUUAUCAGUUACAUACUAUGUUAGUUUUUAUAGUUUAUUUUGUUGUAAAUAAUGUUGAUGGAACUUUUGAUAAUUGAUGGUGUUAAAUAUGAUAGGUUUUAUUGUUAAAACCCAAGGAUUAUUGAUGUGUUAUAAAAAUACCUUCAUGAUGUUCUCGCAAAAUUUAUAAACUUUGUCAACAUGUAUGUAUCUUUAUGUCGUCUUUCUCUUUUAUGUUAAGACAAUCCAUUUUUCUCUCCAAGAGAACAUUAUUUAACAUGUAUUUUAUGUUAUUAGUUACAUACUAUGUUAGUUUUUAUAGUUUAUUUUGUUGUAAAUAACGUUGAUGGAAAUUUUGAUAAUUGAUUUUGUUAAAUAUGAUAGGCUUUAUUGUUGAAACCCAAAGAUUAAUUAUGUGUUAUAAAAUACCUUCAUGAUGUUCUCGCAAAAUUUAUAUGUAUGUAUCCAUUUUUUAAAUGUUUUAUAGUAAUAAAAAUGAGUACUCUAUUAUAUCUUAUUACACAAGUCAAUUUUCUUUUUCUUAUUCGUUGCUCACCAUAAAGUUAAAGUAAAAAUAAAGAAAAUAUUAAUACCUUUAUAAGAAAACCAGGCGAAUGCCCGUGCGUUGCGCAAAAACACCUAUAUAGUUAAAAUCUUUACAAAUAUAUGUUUUUUAAAACAUAAUAUUAAUGUUGUUAAAUUUGAUAUAAUAACCCGUAUACUAAAUUGAUAUAACAUAUUGAUUAUGUUAAAUUAUAUAAUAAUAUAUACAUCUAUUAUAACCGUUUGAAUGACUUCUACCCGCGAGUUACUCAUGAAUAAAAUUAAAUAUAACAUAUGGUUUAAUGUUAUUUAUAGUUGUCAUUGUUAAUUAAUUUUUUGGAAAUUUAUUUCUUUACCGUUUUAAUUUAUGUCAUUGUAAUUAUUUACAACAUCAAACAUUGUUUUUUUUAUUUUAAAAGUAAAAUUAUAAUCAUUUAUAUAGAGUUAUAUUUAACUAAUGUUAUUGUCAGUUACUUUAAGCUACUUAUUUGAAAACUUUUAACGAUUAUACAAAUAUCUUUAGGAAAUAUUUUAGUUAAAUUGAGAUUAUAAUUCAUUUUUUGCAUUUAACACUACAAUUUAUCAAUUUUAACUAUUCACAAAAUAUUCAUUGAGUUUUCUAGGUGGAACUGAAAUUUAUAUUUAAGUUGACACUUUAAUGUUAUAUUAUAAAUUAACAAUUUAAGUAUAUUGUCCAAACUAUUCAAAAGUUGUAGCUUCAAAUUGAUAAUGGUUUACAUACAACAACAUCUUAAUCUAAUAAAUUAAGUAUAAUCUGUUAAAAAUUAAAGACAUAACUUUAUAAGUAGAAGUAAAGAUGUUAUUUUAAUAUUAAAACUUAGUUUAUUUAUGAUUACACUUCAGGUUUGAUAUUUAUUUAACCUUAUUAACCAACUUAAAAUCAUUAUUAGAAAGACACUAUAAUUUAUUAGUUUUAGUUAUUUACAAAAUAUUUGAGUUAUUUAAGUUAAACUUAAAUUUAUAUUUAAGUUGAUCCUGUAAUGUUAUAUUUAAAUUUAUAAUUUAAGUAUUUUAUACAAAUUGUUCAAAAGUUGUAGCUUUAUAAUGAUAAUGGUUUAUACCUAAAAUUAUAUUAAAACUAAUAAAUUAAGUAUAAUAUGUUAAAAGUUAAAAAACAUAACUUUAUAAGUAGAAGUAAAGAUAUUCUUUUAAUAUUGAAAUUUAGUUUGUAUUAUUACACUAUAUGUUUAAUAUUUAUUUAAUCUUACUAACCAACUUAUAACAAUUAUUAGGAAGAAAUUGAAAAGUCAUGGGAAUUUCAAAUGAAUCUGGUGAAAGGAAAAUGCAUGGGAGUUUCAAAUGAAUGUGGUGAAAAAAAAGGCUANNNNNNNNNNNNNNNNNNNNNNNNNNNNNNNNNNNNNNNNNNNNNNNNNNNNNNNNNNNNNNNNNNNNNNNNNNGAAUUUAAAAUCAUUAUUUUACUUGGACCCUUCAUUCCAUUCCAAUAUUUUAUAGUUUUAAGGACAAAAGUAAAAGUAUAAUACUAAAGUAUGAUAUUUUUUUUUUAAAUAUAAUAAUGAAAUUUUCCAAACAAAUAGUUUUUAAUUAAGUAAAAAUAAUAAUAGUUUAAAAUAAAGUAAAACUACAAAAUAGAUUAUAUUAUACUAAAGAAUGAUUUUUAUUUGAAAUAAUAAUAAUAAUAAUAAUAAUAAUAAUAGUAAAUGAUAUAAAAAAAAGACUUAAAUAAACUAUUUCGAAAUCAUUUAAAAAUAUCUAUAAUUAUUAUUAAAUUAAAAACUUUAUUUAAUUCAAUUCAAACAUAACUUAUUCUAUCUAUAUUAUCAUAUAGUUAAAAUAGUUAUAAAAUUAGUUACAACUUAGUGUAAGAAUCAUUAUUUUAAUGAUAAAUUUCAAUAAUAUUGUUAUUACAACAUAUAAUUGUUAAUAUUUAUAUUACAUUAUUGCAUACAACUCAAGUGUUUGAAACUCCUAUUACAACUCAAGAGUUUUCUAUUUUAAAUGUAGUUUUGUUUCGAAAUUUAAUGAAAUUAGUUGUGACUUUUAUUUUCCAUUACAUUCAAGAGUUUUUAAAUGUAGGUAACGAAGCUCGACUCAUCAUGGAAUGAACCAUGUCCAACAAGGUUCGAUUGCAACUCUCAGCCACACCAUUAAGUUGCGGUGUCCUAGGUGGCAUCAAUUGUGAAACAAUUUUACAUUCUUUAAGAUAGUCAUAGAAGUCAAUACAAAGAUACCCACCACCUCGAUCGGAUCAGAGCAUCUUUAUCUUCCUACCUAAUUGAUUCUCCACUUCUUGCUUAAACUCUUUGAACUUUUCCAAGGUUUCUAACUUGUGCUUGAUUAAGUAGAUAUAUCCAUAUCUGCUAUAAUCAUCGGUAAAGGUUACAUAGAAGCAGUUAUCAUCCCUUGUGGUAGAUCUAAAGGGUCCACACACAUCAGUUUGUAUGAGAUCCAACAAACCCUCACCUCUUUUACAAGUACCAGUGAAAGGUGACUUGGCCUUCUUUCCAAGCAAACAAGAUUCGCACGUGUCAUCCGACUUUAAGUCAAAUGACUGCAACACUGCAUUGUUUUGGAUUUGGGCUAUGCGCUUCAUGUUGACAUGUCCAAUACAACAAAGCCACAAUAAUGCCUUGUCUAAACCAUUGGACGAAUCAAUAUGCCAUACAUUAUUUCCUAAUUUGUUUACAAUCAUCACAGUUUCAUAUAUACCAUUACAAGGCAAUGCUUCAAAAUAAAAUUUACCAUUAUAAAAAUCAUUAAUAGAAUCAAUUUCAUUGUUAAAUGAAAAUCUAAAACCCUGUUUAUACAAACCAUGAAAAGAAAUAAUGUUUCUCGCCAUCUCUGACGAAUAGGAAUAAUCGUUCAAAUCUAAUUCUAACCUAUUACUAAGCAAUAAAGAAUAAAUCCAAUCUUGGUGACAGGCGACGCUUUCCUAUUCCCCAUGAUCAAGUCCAUCUUCCUGUGCUCCAUAUCCCUACUUGUUCUUAGACCCUGCAAUUCAGAACAAAUGUGAAAACCACAUCCUGUAUCAAGGACCUAAGAACUAGUAUGUGAUGAGUUUAUAGAUUGAAUAGUGUAUAUACCUACGAAGGUGGGCUUUAUCUUCCCAUCCUAUAUGUCCUGCAAGUAUUUAGGGCAGCUUCGUUUCCAAUGCCCCUUUUCAUGACAGUAGAGCAACUCUGCUUCCUUUGGAUUUGAUGAAGGAGUAGCAAAACCAUCUUUACACCUACUUUAAGAGGAUCCAUCAUGAGACUUUCCUUUUUGAUUCUUUGAAGGAGCUUUCCUUUUCUUCUCUUUCCUAUUUCCAAUUUCCAGGACUGGGGUAGCAGCAGUAGGAGUGGGUACAACAGACUUGCCAUUUAAACUACUUUCAACAGUUCUUAGAAGGCCUUAAAGCUUGCUUAGAGUGACUUCCUCCAUGUUCAUAUGAUACGUCAUCCUGAACUGAUCAUAACAUGGAGGUAAAGAGUGUAGGAUAAUGUCGAUUGCGAACUCUUCGUCAAAAUUGACGUUCAACUUUAGCAAGCGGUCCACAUAUCUUUGCAUCUUUCGCAAGUGAGUCGUGAUGGACUCUCCAUCCUUAAUUUUUUUUGUUAUCAUGAAGGCAAUGAUUUCAUACCUUUCUUUUCGAGCACUUUGAUGGUACGAUUCCAUCAAGUCUUGCUGCAUCUUGGAAGGCCAUAAGUCCUCGUAGGACUUUUGAAGCUCAGAAGUGAUAGUGGCUAGCAUGAUGCACAACACCUUUUUUGUGUCCUUCUCAUGAGACCUAUACUCAGCCAGUUGCUCAGGAGUAGCAGUUUCUUCAUCAAUAUCCUUUAGCUCAUUGUCGAGGAUGUAUUCAUUUUCCUCGUAUCGAAUGGCCAUGCAAAUGUUUUGAAUCUAGUCCUUGAAAUUCGACCCAUCGAGAAUGACCCUCCCACAUAGGUUCAUGAGGGAGCAAGAGCCGGAAGAGUUUGAGUUUGAAGCAUUGUUCGAGGUAGACAUCUGAAAAAGAAAGACAAGUUUCAUUAGAUAGAAAUUCCAUAAUAUAACACCCAAGUGAAAUAUUAAGGCUAGGAGCCAAACACAAUAAUUCACAACUUAGAAAAGGGAUGCCGUAAUCUAAUUACAAAUUAUUUGAAGAGAGGUAAAUGAUGAUUUACAAAUUUUCACCACCCAAAACCGAAAUUUACAAGAAUUAAGUUUUAUGAAAUUUCUAGAUCUUUGAGAUUCAUUGAACCUUUCAAUGACAUGUUUAAUCUUGAUUAUGCCCUUCAAGUUUGUGACUGGGAUACCGAGGCUAACAAACAAGGAGUGAAUAACCAUGCAAAUAUGUGAGGUACUCUUGAUGUCAUUCAUCAUCUAAUCAACGUACCGGUUAGCCAUAGACGCUCCAUUGUUCUAUGAUAAUUCUCGAGCUACCCUUAGCCACCGUUGUUAGUCCAAAUUAGUGUGCUGGUUAACCACACAUGCUCCACUAACGACUUGCCAAGGUGCAAAGUGCAAUUUCAUGGAAUAGCACCAUUUUCACAUUUUUACUAAAGUAACUAUGGUUGGGAAUUUAGAAAAGUAUUUACUUACUUUUUAUAAUUAUUAUUAUACUUUUGAAUGAGCAUUAAGGUCCUAUCCUACCCGUUCGGCUAACGACCCUCCACUAGUCAAGGAAGUGGUGGGGAAGAGUGGAUACCUAUUCAAUCGCCAUUUUAUAGGCAAUUUCCUUAUACCCCCUGAUAGACCAGCUUUGUGAAUGAGGCCUACUAACAGUAAGACUGACUGUCUUAUACAUAUAUAUAUAUAUAUAUAUAUAUAUAUAUAUANAUAUAUAUAUAUAUAUAUAUAAGUAUUAAGUUGUUAAUGUAUUAUAAUAGUAUAAGGGUUGAAUUUUAAACUUUUAAAGAUCUAGGGUUUAGAAUUUAAAUAUUUCAAAAUCAAAACCUUUUAAUCAAAAUUUUAAAUUCUAAAACUUGAGGGAAAGUUUUGAAACUUUUCAAAACCUCUUAGAUCAAAUUUGAAAACAAUUAAAUUAAUCAUAUAAUUUAUCUAUAUCACAAAAUUUGACCUAUUCUAAUUUCAUAUAGAAAGAUAAUUCGAAUCAAGUUCUACAAAUAAUUAAUUUAUCAUAUAAUCAAGUAAUUAUCUUAAAAUUUGACAAUUAUCCUCCAAUUGGAUGCGGAUAAUCAUUACCUUAUCAUAAACGAAUUUUAUCAGUCAAAACAGUUUAUGGUAAUGAUCCUAAUCCAAUUCUGGUAAAACAAACCCGAAAAUCUGCCAACGGAUGACCCAACUCGUCGAGUUAGUGAAUGGACUCGUCGAGUGGGCUCUACUCGUUGAGUCCUAUUAUGGACUCGUCGAGUUCAUCAUGCAGAGAGCAGAUUUUGAUUUGCUUCAGCUUUGAACAAUUAACCAAUGCAUCAAUAUAACAGUAAACACCCUAGGCUUUGAUACCACUGAUGGGUUUUGAGCACUAUAACAAUCCUAUGGUUUACAUACAACCCUAAUGCUUUGGAUCUAAGUUUUCUAAAGUUAUACAUGCAAUUUUCCUUUUAUCCAAAGCAUGAACUAGGACUAGCAUAAAAUUUUGAGAUUUAAAACAUAAAACAAGUUAGAUGAAUAUCUCUUGUUGUAGCUUGUAGAACUUGGCCUUUCAAGAGCUUAGUACCUCAAAUGUGAUACCUGAAAUAAGUCACAAACACCAAGAACAAUGGAGGAUUAGGAGAGAGACAUAGAGAGAGAGAGAGAAAGAGAGAGAGAGAGAGAGAGAGAGAAAGGCCAGGAGGCACCAAAAAUCGGCUAGGUUUUCUUAUUGGAAGUCUUGGCUGAUAUUGGGAGUGUUAGGGUUACAUUUAUAGUGUGGAAUUCCUAGGGUUUUAACUUCUAAACCCUAAUUCAUUUACUUAGGCCUUUAAGCAAUCCAAUAACUCAUUUGAUAGGCCCUUUGGACUAAAUCUUCAUGGACUCUCACAUAGAUUUAGUCCAUCCUAAUCAACAUGGAUCAUUAGCCUAAACUAUAUGUAUUAUUGAUUUACCUAAUCAGUCCCGGUUAAAUUAAUCAGUCUCUUUUGAUCACUAAAUUAAUUCCAAAUUAAAAGCUGAUCAAGACCAGUUAAAAAUUAUGAUUUCUCAAUUAAUAUAUUAUUCUUAUAAUAUAUUAAUAAAUCACAAAUAACCUCUUUCUCAAAAAUCCAUCCUAUCAAAUUCCUCUUGUGAAGGAAACCCAAAAGGACCAUGUUACUAUCGCGUCAAGUGCAUACCAAUUAUAGUUAUGGGCUUAGACACCUAAUCCAAAAAAAAUCCAUGGAGUGAUUGAGGUUUCUUUUUGAGUAUAUGUUAAAACUUGUGGCUCAUAAAACUCCUCUCUGUACCACUAUCGAAAAGUAUGCUUGCAUAUAAGUUAUUGAGGAGAAACGUACCUGUAACCAUGGUGGGAUUCUUCAUUUCCUCCUCAUGACCUAUUGCCAAAACCCUUCCUACACCUCCGACAUCUUUGUUCCUUGCCUUUGGGCACUCCCUCUUGAAAUGCCCCGUCUCACCACAUCCGCAGCAUGCUUGGCUCACCCCGACAUUUGUGGCCUGGGUGGUCUGUUGAGCUGGCACCCUAUAGAAACGGGUGGUAUGCCCAAUUUUGUUACAGUUGUUGCAAUGCAUCUCCCGAUAAGCUCCAUUGUGGUGCAAGUUUCACUUGUUGCAUUUGGGUAGGCUCCUAGCAUAUUGUUUCAUUGGUGUUGGGCAGCAGGGACAGUGACGACGUGGACUGCCACAUUUUGUUAUUUCUUUGUGGGCUCUUGUGUCGGUUGGCCCUUCUUCUUGUUCCAUAAUUUCCUUUUGCUCUCUCCCCCUUUUGUUUGUUCGAGGGUGGGCGUCGUAGUGCCCUGGCAGACUCCAUGAUCCACAAGCCUAUGAGCCAAGCGUUUGGCAUUGUCAAAGGUCGAUGGGUUUACAGAUACCACAUUUCGUUGAAUCUGGGGGGAUAGUCCCAAGAUAUAUUGUUCCAACUUUUUGCGUUCCGGGUGACCAUCCCGUGACAUAGCACCGCCAAGUUGUUGAACCUGGUAGUUAGGUUGUUACAUCGGAGCCCGUCAUCAUGAGGUUCCAGAGUUCUUGCUCCAACUUCUAAACUUCGCCUCUCGGGCAGUAUUCUUACAGCAUCAUGAUUUUUAUAUCCUCCCAACUCAUAGAGUUGGCCCACAAGCAGAAUUAGUGAUUUAACGUGGCCAUUCCACCAGGAGAGGGCCCCGUCAAUGAAUGUGCAAGCUGCAAACUUGACCUUGCUUUUUUCCGGGCACGAACAAAUUUCGAACAGCGAUUCUGUUUUCUCGAACCAUCUAGUCAGAUUAUUGACACCUACACUGCCAUGAAAACACUUGGGAUUGCAAUAAGAUAAGCCCUUGUAGGAGCAUCCUCUUCGAUGUGCAUGGUUUUCUCCAUGAUUAGAACAAUUGGUACCAUUUUCAUUCCCGUUUAUACCAUUAGUAUUGAUUUGUGCUUGAAUGCUGCCACAACGACUUGGAAGGCAGCGGAGUCCUCAUGUGGAGUUAGUGGCGGCUUAGCUCUUGGUGUGUUGCUGACACGUCUGUUGCUCCUGCGUGGUGGCAUUCUUCUUCCAUAAAGUUUAAAGAAUGGGAUUAUGUUAAGUCCUCGAUAAUGGUUACGAAUCGGGUAUUAUUAAAAUAGAACGUAUGUGUGAGAAUAGAGGUAUAAGAGACACAUAAAGAGUCUAGGUGUCUGGUUAUAUAGUAUCAUAAAAUACUCCUAUAGUAUUUCAAAUUUAUGUUUAGUUCUAGAGUUUCUUUGUAUGGGGUGUUGGUAUGUUUUAGACUUGUUGGUCACCACGACUAUUCCCAAGCAUAUGUUAGUCACAUCUCGGAUACAUAUAGUUGACCAGGCUAUAUUUAUCUAAUAUCUAAUUACAUACCACCUAGGCUUACUCGUACUGUUCAACUUAUCUUAUUACUUUUGUAUUGUUCUUGUUAUGACACCAUUCUAGUAUGUAUGUAUGUACUUAUACUUUAUAUAUAAAAACAUAUAUCAUUAUAUUUUACAAGUAUACUUGUAUGAAAUGUUUUAGUCAAAGGAUUUUAGCCCCAUUGUAUUUAUAGUUGUAUAUCUUACAUGGUUUUAUUUAGUUCACUAUAAACAAUUCUCUAAUACCAAUCUAUUACACCUCCAAACCAGGAUGGUGAAAACGUCUGGGGUGGAUGACUUCAUGAAUUGUAUCACAACAACAUGUAUAAUAGUGAUCAAAGCAAAAUACAACCAUAAUAAAUAUAAUCGAAAAAGUUACAUUGUUGUAAGAGUUGUAUGUUUCAAACGUAAUUACAAUAUGAUGAUUUAAAAUGACUUGUUUGAUGCCUUAGUGUCCCAUCCACAAAAGCUUGUAGUCACAUGCUUAAAGAUUUCCUGAGAAUGCAAGUAGUUUUGAAAAGUGUCAUCAAUUAAGUUGGUAAGUUCAUAAGAGUUUGUAUGAAGGAUUGUAAGUCUUUCCUUGUAAAAUGAUAGGGUUCGAUUCCAUAAAAUCCAAUAUUUUCCUUAAAAAUGGGUGUAGUCUUAGGAACCCUAAGAGCGAAAUGUACAAGUAUUUUAAUACUUAAAAUAGUAAUAUGUAGUUGUAAUCUUAUAUAAACCAUUGAAUGUAUGUUUCCCCGUAAACUAAAUGUAUCGUUGGUUUCCCCAUGUGAGUUAUUAUAACCAUUCAAAAACAUAGAUGGCAUGUACGACAUUCUUUAGGUAUUGGAAUGUUACACAUUUGUCACCCGACACCUGCCGGUCUAGUUGUCGCAACCAACUUAGGUGCGGGAUAUACACAAGUAUCACGCUCUCUUACGGGAGAUUAUGGUUAUAGUACAUGACUUUUGUAGGUACUCUGGUUGGUACGAUGAAGACUUUGACUCACAAAAAUUGAUCCAACGCGUUUAUGUUUUGUUGUAGUGAAAACAUUUGUAUGUAUAAUUAUCACUUUUCCAUGAUAAUAAAAUAGUAUAAAAUAAUUAUAUAAACCUUUAUAUAAUUAUCCGUCUUGUUAAAAAAUGUUACAAUAGUGUUAAUGUCCCAUAAACUAUACUUAUUAUAUAUAUAUAUAUAUAUGCGCUAACAUGCUUAUAUAUAUUCAUAAAUUACAAGUAUUUUACAUCUAGUACCAAUAAGUGAGUCAUUAGUAUGAAAAUGUCCAUUUUUCUGGUUUUUGACUUUUACGUCACAAAUGGUAAAUAGUGAAUAUAACUAUGUAAAACUUCUUUGUACCUUUUUGUGAUAUUUAAGUCAAGUUAAAUUUAUAUGCUUUAAACAGUAUAUUUUUGGUCAAAACCCACAAAAAUGGUACCAUAACCUAGUUGUGACAAUUUUUGUUAGAAAACUCACGUUUGCAUAAAAUGAUAAAUUGUAAGUUUUCUUUUUGUAAAACUAAAUCUUUGGUAUUUUUGAUUAGUUUCAAGCAAUAUGUUGCAAUUAACAUAUUUUGGUUUAUACCCCAGAAAUAUGGUGUAAUAACUUGGUUAUAACCAUUUUUGCUAGAAAAUCAUAUUAGGUUCAUAAAAACCAUAGUUUUUAUAGUUAUGUUUUUGUCACCUUUUUCUCAAGAACAUAUAAUUUGUUUAUACUUAUAUUUCAUAGUUUUGCAUUUGUAAACAAGAACACCACAUAUAAAUGUUCAAAUAACUAAGUAAUAACAUCUUUUCAUGCAUAUAAUACUUUUACACAAGUUAAAGAAGAAGCAUGUAUAAUAACUUGUGUUACUCCCCCNCCCCCCCCCCCCCCCCAAACAAAAAAAAAUUGGAAACCUUAAAAACGAAAGGGUAUGAACUUACCUUAUGUGUGUUUUCUUGGUGGAUAAGAGGUUGUAGAUGGAAAGAUUCAAGUUAAGAAUACUUGAAGAUUUGAAGAUCCUAUGAAUAGUAACACAUGAUAAUGUGUAUAAAUGGAUUCAAACUAGUUUAUAAGUGUGUAGUCACUAAAUACUUACCGAAAACUCAUGAACCACUUGGAAGAAUCUAGCUAUGGAAGAUGGGAGCUCUUUCUUGUAGAAGAAGAAGAAAAUGAUGAAGAUGAAUGUGAGAAAAAGGCCUUUCGGCCGUAAGUUAAAGAGAGAGGGGGAAGGAGGGUGUGUGUGUGUNNNNNNNNNNNNNNNNNNNNNNNNNNNNNNNNNNNNNNNNNNNNNNNNNNNNNNNNNNNNNNNNNNNNNUACUCUAGGGUUAAGUGGUUGCCCAUGUUAGAUGAAGGUACAACUUAAUAACUAGUGACUUUUUAUAAAAAAAAUAAAAAUCAAACCUUUAUAAACUCUUGGUAUUUUUAUAAAAUUGAUGAUGUUUUUAUAAAAGAAAUAUGGUAUAAAGGAUGCAUAAAAUAUUUAAUUUGAAUUAUAAAAAUUCAAAUUAUUAUAACAGUUGCCCAUGUUAGAUGAAGGUACAACUUAAUAACUAGUGACUUUUUAUAAAAAAAAUAAAAAUCAAACCUUUAUAAACUCUUGGUAUUUUUAUAAAAUUGAUGAUGUUUUUAUAAAAGAAAUAUGGUAUAAAGGAUGCAUAAAAUAUUUAAUUUGAAUUAUAAAAAUUCAAAUUAUUAUAACAAACAUUAUUAUCAAAAUAAUAAUAUGUUACAUGAAAGUUAGGUCGAAUUUCCAUGUUUAUUUCGUUAAAAAUUUGGUGUUUAGCCGGGUAUAGACUUUGUCGCAUUUGGUGACCAAUUCACCAAAAAUUAGUGUUUGUAGCAUUUGCUAUGAAUUUCCACACAGUGUUAGGUUUAUGAACUCCACUACACUGUGUUAGGAGUAUUAUUUAUUCCCAAAUAAUAUAUAGCUGAAUUAUCGAGUUGUUACGUUACUAACCCUAAUUAGGGUUUAUAUUUGAUAAUUGGCAAUCCAAAGAGGUAAUUUGUAUUAUAAUUUGUCAAUAAUACAUUAGAAACAUCAGGGGAUAUCAUAUUUCUCCUAAAUUUCUAAUACAAAUUAUGUUGACCUGUUUGACAUUUGAUGACUUUGUUUGACCAGAUUUGGUUGUUGCCACAGAGUGGUCUUCUCUUCGUCAAUCUCAGUUAGUUCUUUCUCAAGGACAUAAUCCUUGUACUCGAAACGAAGGGCCAUUUUGAUGUUGCACAUCCAUUCAUUGUAAAUGGUGCCAUCCACUGUCACAUUUGAGUAGACAGACAACAACGAGAAGUUUUGGUUGGAAGAGGAGGUAUCAGAAGCAUCAUUUGGAGUAGACAUCUGAAAAUGGAAGGUAGUUUUAGUUAGAUAAGCAUAAUACUUAAUAUAGAAAACCAAAAUAAAGUAUUAAGGUUAACAUCCAACUAUAAAAUUCACAAAUUAGAAAAGGGAUUUCGUAAUCUAAUUUUAAAUUUUAUAAAUGUAGGUAAAUGACGAUUUACCAAUUCCAGCAACAGAAAAUAGAAUUUAAAAGAAAUUAAGUUAAAUGAAACUCCUAGGUCUUUUGAGAUACAUUGAAACUAUUCAGUGACAUGUUUAAUCUCAGAUUAUGCUUUUCCAUUUGUGAUUGAGAUACCGGGGAUCACAAACAAGAUGUGAAUAACCAUGCAAAUGUGUUUGGUAACCUCAUUGUCAUUUAUCAUCCCAAUUGAUGUGCUGGUAAACCACACACGCUCCAUCAACAACGAUAAUUCAUGAGAUACCCAUUACCACUCUUUAUUAGUCCCCAGUAGUCUAUUGGUCAACCACACAUGCUCCACUAACGAAUUAUAAAGUGUAAUGUGCAAUUUCAUGAGUUAGCAUACAAAUUCACAUUUUUCCUAAAAUAACUAGAUUUGUGAUUUAAUGAAAACCGUCUAGUAACUUUUAAUAGCAUUAUACUUUUAAUGAGGAUUAGUUUUCCGAUCAAACUCGUUCGGCUAACGACCCUCUACUACACAAGAGAGUUGUGGGUAAGAGUGGACACCUAUUCAACGGUCAUUUUAUAGGCCGCUUCCUUAUACCCUCUUUAUAGCAUGGUUUCGUGAAUGAGACCUACUAUUGAUUUGACUGACUUAAUCUUAUACAUAUAGUAAUAAUUAAAAUUUUAAUUUUACGUAUAGUAUAAGGUGUAUUUUAAACUUUUUAAAAUACUAGGUUUUAUAUUUUAAAUUUCAAAAAUAAUAUUCAAUUAGUUAAAUUUAAAAUAAUAUAUAGUUUAUAAAAUGAAUCAAUUAAGGAUUAUUAAAUUAAUCAAUUAAUUUAACCCUAAUUCUUACCCCAUAAAUUAAUCAAUUGGAACUUGUCAUUUCAAUGCAAAUGAAAAAACUAUAUUUCUAGACAUUACCGAAGAGUAAUAGAAAUCUAUUAAAAUUAUCCUAACUAGUUAGCAAGGUUGUACAAAUCAUUUGACAAUAGCUCGACGGUCGACAGAUGUUAAGGGAAUAAUCGGUCUUGGCGAAGAUUAAUCAGGGACCAUAGAUUAUUACUAAAAUAUGAAAAUUAAUCAAAGCUUAAUAUAUUUAAGAAAAAUAAGUAGUUCAAAAUUGGAAAAUAAGAGAAUUUUUAAUUUGAAAAUUUGAAAAUAUCAACAUUUUGGUAUAAUAUUUGAAAUUUUGAAAUUUUAAAAAUUUUGGAGUAAAAAAAUUUAAUUUUUUGAAAUUGUUUUGACAUUGUUGACAUUUCUUUGACUUUUUUUUUACUGUUUUUUACAUUUUUGACUUUUGUUGACUUUUUUUGACCGGUUAAUCCCAUAAAUACCGAUUAAUCCCGUGAAACUAGAUUAAUCCCUAAUUUCUGUAAGACACACUAAUCUUAAUCGGUUGGAGAAUGACAAACGAUUCAUCUACAAUUAAUCAACGAGUACUCCCAAGUUUCUGCAACCAUGCUCGUUAGUAGUAGUUCCCAAUUCUGACCAUGUUUGUAUUUCACUUUAAUACUUAGGUUCACAGCUUUUUAGUGACAAUCUGUUGACUUAGUUGUCCUGGCCUCAUAGGUAAGAUCCUAACCGACUCUCUUCUCACGCAGUAUAUAUAUGAGAGUGAAUUACAUAGAGAGAGUAUCUUUUUCUAAUUAGUUCCUUCGUCAAUGUAUCGAACUAUUUUUCUCUCGAAUGAAUUGAAGAUCUUAUUUACUUUUUAUAUGUAUUUUGAUCUUUUUCCAUUCUCACUUACAUCAUUGUUUAAGAAUCUAUACAUUUCUAACAUAUGUUUAUGUGCGUGAUAUGUGUAUUUACUGUUUAUGGAAUGCUCCGUUUACUUAUAAUACACACACAUUUUGUUUAUUAGUAAGAAACGCAUAAUAGGAGUUCAGUCUUAGUUGGUGAUAGUACCCAAAAUCAACAUGAGAUAUUCUCGAAAUCUAAAAAAAUUAAAUUAGAUGUUGCAUAAUUUACAAUAAAUAAUGGUUUGUUGGUAUCAUUCAAUUUUAGCUUCUUAUAGAGAAUAUAACAUUUUGAUAAUAAAAAUUGUUUACUCGAUUGUUUAUAGUAAAUAAUGGUUUGUUGGUGUCAUUCACUUUUUACCUCCUUGUAGAGACUACAACAUUUAGAUAAUUGUGAUUACAACAAUUUGAUGAUGGGAUUUAGGUAAACAAACCAAAAUAAAACCUUAAGUUUGCAUGCCACCUAAAUAGGAUCUAUGUUUUCUCUAUUAAACCUAACUAAGAACAUCAAAAAGAAACUUGCAACACCCUAGGCUAUUUUCGAAAAUACCUAGAGAAAGGUUUAGGAUUACAUAAAUUUCUUGUAGAUCUCUUAGAAGACAGAACCACAACUGUCGUGCCUUAAUGGAAUCACAUCCAAGCUAGCAAGAGGAUAAUAAGAGAGAGAAGAAAGGAGGAAAGAUUUCAUCCAACUCUUGGGCAGAGAAGGAGUGGCAAAAUCAAGGGGCUAGGAGGCUCCUUAUAUAGUUGAGGAAACUUGGUGCCAAAACUAGGGUUUAGCGGAUAAGCCUUAGAUUCCAUUAUUUGGUGACCAAGUAGCCCAAGCCCCUUGUCCAAGGGGCCUUGGGCAAAAUCUCAUAGGGUUUCCCUAGAGAUUUUCUUCCACCACUUCCAAGAGGUUCUAGAGUCAUUCUUUCUCAACUAUUAACAAAUAACAAAACAAUCCUUGUACUUUUAAUUAAUCAAAUUAAUCAAAAAAUUAAUUCCAAUUAAUUUCUGAUUAAUUAUUAAUUAAAUAAUAUGAUUUCUAAUUAAUAUAUUAUUUUCAUAAUAGAUUAAUAAACAAUUUAAUUUAUUAUUCACCUAAUAAAUUAAUUUAUCUCUUUAAAAUCAACUUGUCUAAUUGCUAGGUUUGAUGGGAACCCAAAAUGACUGUGCUACUAUCAAUUCAAGUAUAUACCAACUAUAGUUAUGGGUGUAGACACCUAAUCCAACAUUUGAUGAUCAAUGUUUUCAAUUAGUGUUAGGUAGCCUUCUAUGAUAUAAAUGUAAGUGGACCUUUUUUUUUUUUUUUUUUUUUUUUUAUGUAAGCUAUUAUAUGAUGUUAUCUAGAAGUAGAAAUAAAAUAAUUCUUUUUUUUUUGAUUGAUUUUGUUCUUUUUCUAAUUUGGUACAAAACAACGAAGAUGAAAGCUAUAUCGAAAAUCAACCAAAAAACGUAGUUGACGUCAUCCAUUUACUCUCGCAACCUAUAACUAUCAUUGGUAUGAAUAUAUAACUUACAAUGUAUCCUUUUUCCUUUAUCUCUCUAUAUUCGUUUCUUUGUAACUUGUGAGAUUUUUAUGGUUAAUUUAGGGGUUGUUUGCUUUUUCUAAAAAAAUCACUUCUGACCACUUUUUGUUGCACCGUACAACACACGCACGUUUGUUUUUCAAAAAACUUUUGACUUAAAAACUGUUGCGCGUGUGUUGCGUGGCGCAACAUUGGACCCUCCUCUUCAAACAUCUUCACACCUUAUUUAAGUUAUAUUAUUCAACAUAAUUUUGAAAUUUUUUCAACAAUUUAUUAUUUUAAUAAUAUUAUGAAGGAUAUUAUCAACAAUUCUAAUACAUUUUACAUAAUUUCAAAAUCGUUUGGUAAAUUUCAUAUAAAUAAUUUGUUUUGUAACAUUGUCUAUGACUAUAUACUAAUAAAUUAUAAAGUUAAUCAUUAAAAUUACCAAAUUUGUUGAAGCUAACCGGAAAAAUAAUCCUCGUCUUCGAAAAAUUAAAAAAAUAAACACGUUUUUUUUUUUUUUUUUUUUUUUUUUUUUUUUUUUUUUUUAUCUAAAUUAACAGUUUUAUUUAUUGUUAUUUAGCAAAUAUUAUGCUUAUUUAUUUUACAGAAACGUUACCAUAAUGAUAUAUGUAUUGAUUUGUAUAUAUAUGAUUAAACUAAAUAAUAUUUGAUUUAGAAUUAUUUUUAACUAUUAUAUGGUUAAUUUCGAUUUAUUGCAACAGCCUGCAGACGCUAAAAAAUAAAUAAACUUUUUAUUACAUGACACAGCCCUUUGAUCCACCUCUUCUGCUAUAUAGGGUUGCAGAGGUAGUCCACAGACUUCACGCAUUUUCACUUCGGAAAAACAAAUAACACCUUAGUUUUGAUCUUUAUAUAUUAUCGGAAAUUUUUUUUAUACUAUACCUGUCAAAAAUUUAUUGUUCCUCCAAUGUCACUAAUAAUACAUAGACUCUUCCUUUUCAAUAUAUUCUAUUUUUCUAAAAGGGGAACGUCGCUCCAAUAUAUUCAAUAUAUAAUUAAAGAAUUUUAAUAUACAAAAACUUGUAAUUUUAUGAAACAAAACUUAUUAUAUAGAUUAUAUAAUUGUAUUUUAAUAUACACCAAAAUAUAGACUAAAACUAUAUCCAAAUCUUUUUUGGUAGCAUGAUUAUGGUUUUCCUUGAUAAAAAUAUAUUAGUCAAACAUAGUAGACUUUACAAAAUUAUUCAUUAUAUAGACAUCUAAAAUAAUACCAAUCACAAUCUUUUACCACAACAUCUUUGACUGAACCUACAAACUCUUCGACACGUAUCAAUAAGUGGGAAGCACAUUCCUGUGUCACCACAACAACAAAAUUUUUUACCAUCUGUCGAUGUUGAACAAUGGUAAUCGCAAGGUGCUUUUGAGAUACCAACAACUUUAAUCUCAUUCAUUUCAAUUUUGCCACCUAUAAAUUCAAAAAGGAAAAACAUAUUAAAAUAUCCAUAAAAAAUAAUGAAAUAAUGUGUAAAAUAAAGAUAAAAAAAACCUUACAUUCAUGAAAAAUAGACAACAUUAGAAAGCUUACACACAAGAUGAUCAUAUAUCUUUCCAGAAGCUUGAUCAUCAUUUCGUUUUCUCUUAUAGUAAAUUAACUUGUUUAAAAUAGAAAGAGAUAUGAAGAUGAUUUAAUAGACAACAAAUGAGACCAAUCUUAUAUUUAUAUGAAUAUUUGGGCUGUUAAGUUAUUGUCUAAUUUAAAAUUUUUAUUAUAGCUAAUUAACUGAUUUAUAUAACUUCAUGGAAUAAGNNNNNNNNNNNNNNNNNNNNNNNNNNNNNNNNNNNNNNNNNNNNNNNNNNNNNNNNNNNNNNNNNNNNNNNNNNNNNNNNNNNNNNNNNNNNNNNNNNNNNNNNNNNNNNNNNNNNNNNNNNNNNNNNNNNNNNNNNNNNNNNNNNNNNNNNNNNNNNNNNNNNNNNNNNNNNNNNNNNNNNNNNNNNNNNNNNNNNNNNNNNNNNNNNNNNNNNNNNNNNNNNNNNNNNNNNNNNNNNNNNNNNNNNNNNNNNNNNNNNNNNNNNNNNNNNNNNNNNNNNNNNNNNNNNNNNNNNNNNNNNNNNNNNNNNNNNNNNNNNNNNNNNNNNNNNNNNNNNNNNNNNNNNNNNNNNNNNNNNNNNNNNNNNNNNNNNNNNNNNNNNNNNNNNNNNNNNNNNNNNNNNNNNNNNNNNNNNNNNNNNNNNNNNNNNNNNNNNNNNNNNNNNNNNNNNNNNNNNNNNNNNNNNNNNNNNNNNNNNNNNNNNNNNNNNNNNNNNNNNNNNNNNNNNNNNNNNNNNNNNNNNNNNNNNNNNNNNUAUAUAUAUAUAUAUAUAUAUAUAUAUGUUUCAAGUAUGUAACUAUAGAAUGAAAAUGUACAAUGAUGUGUAUUGGUAUACAACAUUCAUGCUAGAUACAUGGAAAUGUGGUAUUUUGUAUUUCUCUAUUCUUUAAAAAAUUAGUGUUUGACAAAACUAGCUGGUAGCUGGUAGUAGGUAGCUUGUAGUUUAUAGCUGGUAACAUUUGUUUAAACGCUACAUAAAGUAGCAUAUGGAUUUGGUGCAAUUUCUUUAAACUAAAUUCUAGAAACUUGUAGUGUUAGACGAGACUUUCUAUUCAAAGCGGAGCAUUUUGUUAAACGUUAGAAUCUUUCAAAAACUUCAAAAUCUUCUGUACCGAACACACCCUUAAUAGGAAAAAAUAUAUUAUAAUCUCUCUCAUCCAAAUAUACAAUCUAGAAACUUGUAAUGUUAAAAGAGACUUUCUAUUCAAAACGGAGCGCUUUGUUAAACGUUAGAAUCUCUCAAACACUUCCAAACGUUCUGUGCCGAACACGCCGUUAAUAGAAAAUAAAAUAUUACACUCUCUCUCGUCCAAAAUAUAUAGAUAUAUAAAUGUUUCAAGUAUGUAACUAUAGAUUGAAAACAUACAAUGACGUGUAUGUGUGUACAACAUACAUGCUAGAUACAUGGAAAUGUGGUAUUUGGUAGUUCUAUCUUUUUCUUCAAAGACUUAGUGUUCGACAAAACUACAUGGUAGUGGGUAGCGGGUAGCAGAUAGCUUGUAGUUUAUAGUUGGUAGCUUUUUGUUAAACGCUACGUGAAGUACCAUUUGGUUUUGGAGGAUUUUGUUUAAACUAAAUGCUAGAAACUAGUAGUGUCAAACAGAGUGUUUAUGUAAACGUUAGAAUCUCUCGAACACUUCUAAACUUUCUGUGUUGAACACGUCGUUAAUAGAAAAAAUAUUACACACUCUCUCUCUCUACUAAAUAUACAACGUAAAUUAACCAAAUUGAACAUUCUAUUAUAAAUAUUAUUAUUUAUAGCAAGGUACUGUUAUUUUUACGAUUAUGAAAAAUAUAUAGAAAUAUGAAAAUUUAUAUCAAUACGGGUCUUUAUUUGUACCGAUAAGAUAUGUCAAUGCAGGUCUAACUUAUUGAUGAACAUGGAUUAUCAAUUCAUAUUAAUUAAGUAUGCUUUUUUUUUUAAUUGGAUAUUGGAUGAGAAAUUAUGUGACAGUAGAUGAUAGAAUAUGCAAUGUUCACUACGUCAAACUUCCAUGUACCUAGGGCUCUUUAGUAUUUGGAUAAAACUAAAUUGUCCAAUUGGAUAAUUUGUAUUGGACUAUUUGAUGUGGAUAUUUGGACUUUUGAAUUAUUAUUCAACAAAACCGAAUUAUUAUUUUGGAUUUCAAUUUGGUCUUGAUUUGUAAAAUAAGAACCAAAUAGUCCAAAAAACAGAAUAAUAUUCCUUCUUAGUAGUUUUUUUUUUUCUUUCAAAAGUUUUUAUCUAUAAAAUAUUAAACUAUAAUAUUCCUUCUUAGUAGUUGUUUUUAAAUUUUAAAUCACAAUCAAAUAAUUUGUUUUUGCUUCUUGUGUAAAGUUGAGUAAUAUUAUAAUUUUAUUCCAUUUUAAAAUGUUUCGAUUUUUGACAACCGAAUUAUAGAAACGAUCAAACCGAAUUGUAAUUGGAUCGGAUCCGAUCAAAUUUGAAUUUAUUUUGGACUACUUAGAUAAAUGUUUUGAAAACCGAAAUCUAUUUGAAUUCACUUGAUUGGAUUAGAUCAAACCGAUUCAUCUAAACGAACACUCCUACACGUAGCUCAAUAACAAAUUUAGAUACAUAAAUAUUGAAGUAUGUACCCCAAUAACAAAUUUUGAUACAUAAAUAUUGAAGUAAAGACUAUACAUAGAAUGUAUUCGGGUUUAAAAAUUAUAGUAAAAAAUCAUUGCAAAUGAUGGUAUUUUAUAAACUAAAAUUAACAAAGAAUCUUGAUAGUUGAUUUUAAUCUCAAAUAAUUUGAAGAAAAAAAAUAGUUGCAUUAUUUUUUUAACGAAACAAUGUAUUUUAAAGUUUUUAUUGUUUCAUAUUUAAUUUUAGGCUUAUAAAACACUAUUUUGAUACUUCAAGUAUAUUUGUACAUUAUAAAGUACUUAAUACUUAAUAUAUUGGUAAUGGUAUAAUUAUAUCUUUAGAAUCCAUUUUUUAUACUAUGUGUAAUUUUAUUUUGUAUUAAUGAGUAAUUUUAUAUAAAUAAUUGAAAAAUAAAAAAGAAAAACCAUUAUACUUUUUAUAAUAUGUAACAGAAAGAAUAAAAAAUGGCGUUGAAGAGAUGAAAACCCCUGAAAACGUCUUUUACAAGUGAAUUUGACAUACAAAGUUUCCUUAAACACAUCAUUUUCAUGAUUUAUAAGAAAGUUUCACAUGAAAUUGAGUUAGUCAUCUGGAGUAUCCCACUAAACAUAUUUUCUCUAGCAUCAACUACAAUAAUUAAAUCUAAGUGUUAAACCUAGCAACAAUUUUCCUUUUUAAUUGGGAUUCAUAAUUAUAAAAUGGUAUAGAAAAUCCUUUAUUUGACUUGGGGAAUAUUUUAGAGAAAACACAAGUUACAUUUGAUAUAUAAUUUCUUUUGAGAAUCAUAUAUAAACCGAUUUUUAACUAUUAUUUUUUUGGGUGUAUCUCUUUCGAUCCAUAUAACUCCAUGGCUUUUCAUUACACUUCUCGCCACAUAACGAGGUCCUACCUUGCAUUUGUGGAACAUGAACACUUCAUAGUCAAGUAAGAUCUUCAAAAAUGAAACCCACUUUUCCACCAAGUGACCUAGCUAAUUCUGUCACAUCUACCACCGCUCUGCCACGGCCACCUCAUUCUCUACCAACCACCAUAAUCCUAAAUGAUUAAUCACUUUGUGAACGUGCAUAUAUGUAUAAUCAUUUAUAAGUAGGUAUAUAUGUAUAAACAAGAAUAGUCAUAUAUGAUUAUAAAUCUGCAUCUUAUAAUCAUUUAUGAUUAGGCAUAUCCCGUCGCCCCGGUAUGCUCGAACGUUAGAGCAGAAAAUGAGAAAUAUGUAGGUGAAGUUGAAUCUCAAGAUCUUUAUUUUGUUUUCAGAUUCUCAAUGAAACCAUCAUCGUUCCCAACCUUAUCACGUUCUCACUAUAACAUCUCUCUCUCUCUCUCUCUAUAUAUAUAUAUAUAUAUA